UCGGCACAAUCUGACGCCAAAAAGGCGAGACGGGUCCACCGUCAACUCUGACGGCACCCAACAGUCCGGAACAACCUGAACGACCCUGUAAAAAUCCACUCGGCAUACCAGCAUGAGCGUAAAUGUAUUCUAAACUACCUGGAGUACUCGUCUUGAGGAUACUGCGACAGUACAAUUUUAUAACGGCUCCUAGAGCUAAAUCAGGCAGUUUAAACAGGUGACAGGUCCAAAUCGCAGGUUUUCUCCUAAUUCAAUUUCCAAGUCCAACAUGUAUAACCUACUUAAUUUAUUACCACAUGCUCCAAACUCAGAUUUGCAAUCUAUCAAAUAAUCCAUGAAUUCGAGCUAGAAUAGAUUAUCAAAAAUCGAGAUCUAUACAUGUCGACGAUUAUGAACUUAGGAGUCAAAACCGAUGUAACCCACCUCGCACGCUAAUCCUCGGCAGCACGGAACUCUCACGGCGGCGAAACAACCUGCUGGAUCGACCAAAAACACCCAAGUCUCGAAAUCGAGCUAACUCCAAACUAAAAACACCAAAAAUCCUCAAUUCAGUCCAAAAUCCACAGCAGCAGAGAAGAGAAGGAUUUUGACCAAGAUAACUUUUACUAAAAUUCGCAAGUGAGGGCUUCGUGGAUUCCUCUCGAAGUCCCGAAUCCAACGAAUCAAGUCUCGUCGCAAUCCGAUGCUCCUACGUCGAGAACAAGCUGAAAUACUAACAGUCGACGACAAGAUCCUGCGAAUCAGCACUUAAGCUCGAAUUAAUGAUACCCGAGGUAUGCGGAGCAAUUCCACAGAACACUCACCUCAAUAGAUCCUCAAGAGUCGGCGCAAUGUCGAGGAUGACGGAAAUCCACGCUCGCCCGAGCUCCUCACAGCACCAAGACGACACAACGUGCGCCCGAACGGCUCCGCGGCACCACGUCGGCGACGAAACUCCACCCGAGCUCCACCCUAGCCUACGAUCGGUUUGAGAGUGAGAGAGAGGAAGUAGCAGCAGAGGAACUCCCUCUCUCUGUCCUCACAAGGCUAAAUAGAGAGAGGGAGGACUGGUGAUACAAACGAGGGAGAGAAAAGACCAAAACACCCUCUCACCUACCCUGGUGUACCGGUACAGGAGGCCAACCCGAGAGCAGUACGCGCUCAACCAGUAUAGUGUACCGGUACACCUCGCUGGCUGUACCGAUACAGCAAGCAGGAAAAUCUGCUAUUUCGCAGAUUUCUUCGCUGAAGGCUGCCCUCGCGUCGCACGAAGUCCGUUUUGCGUCUAUUUGACGCCAACGCGACUCGGACUUGUCCCGACACUCUCUAGAGCUGUCGACAAACCUCCAUAGUCAAACACCAGGGAUCUCACAGUGAGUGACUAGCCAAGAAGGCUCAGCGACUCAACAAAUGCUCACGAGGCACCGUCGGAAGAAUUCCAAACUAAAAUCGCAUUCCGUCGGCAGAUUUUGUCGACAAACGCACCGAAAAUGCAUUUCCGAUCUCCACAAGGGCUUGGGCCUUGGACAAUCCGUCCAGAGGUUACCCACAACCCACACAUCCUGUCAAUAGCAGCCACAACGAACCAAGAUGCAUAAAAGCCCUCCCGAUCGUGUUAUUUCAUGCGAUUUCCGGGCUUUUAUGGUCCGACCGUUCAAUCCGAUAACCUUUCAGUUCAGCUGAGACACCUGCUGAUAGGUCUCGGCGUGCCGGAGGCCGUGCUCACCUUUCGGAGCACUGCCGGCCACUAAGGCGGGCGCACGAGCGAUGCGAAGAUCUGUGAAACAGCGCGCACAGUGCCAAAAUCGAGUCUAAUACACCAACCAGGCACCUUUAACCCUGACGGAGGUGAGCACGAUGUUCAGCACGAAUCCUAGAUCAUCGUGCUCACUUCCCGGGGUGUCCGGGAGUCAUCGGAUCACCAGAAAGGUGACCGGAACCCUCAAACAGUGCGCUACAGACUAAUUUACUGCUUACCAGACCCGAGGGAGCUAGGGUUGGUCGUCGGCGGCCGGACGACGGGCGCUCCGGUCGGGGAAUGGUGCGGCCGGUCGGAGAGGUCCGGGGCAGGCGCUGGCCGGCGGCGAGAGGCGGCUGGAGGCGCGGCGGCUGCGAUCCAAUCCGUCAAGCUACUCUCGGGUUCAAGGGCGCCAGCGGCAAGGCGACGGCCGGAGGAGCUCGGGGCGACGGCGAUUCAUCGUCGGAGGCCGAGGGAGUGGUGGUGCGCCCCACUGUGGGCGGCGGCGACGCACGGUNUGGUGGGGUCUGGGGCACCCGCUGGCCGGCGGCGGAAGGUGGCCGGUGGCACGGCGGCGGAGAUCAAGUCCGUCAAGUUCCUCUCGGGUUCAAGGGCGCCGGCGGUGAAGCGGCGGCCGGAGGAGCCCGGGGCGGCGAUGGUUCGUCGCCGGAGGUCGAGGAGGAGGUUGAGCUCGCGACGAUGGACGGCGGCGUCGUGCGGUGGCCGAGGUGGCUCGGCCUCAGCCCGCACAAAUUCUGGGCGGCCGCAGAGUAGAAGAGCGGCGGCCAGCGGCGCACGGGGACGGUGGGGAGGCGCGCGGGAGGUAGCCGGAGGUCGCCGGAGGCUGAGGGAUGACAGCGCGGCCGAUCUGGAGUGGCGGCGGCGCGCGGGCCUCGAGCCCACCCGUGCUCGGUCUGGGCUGACUGAGGGUGCCCGCAGGGAGCAGGGGCGGCGCCGGCGGCCCACGGGGAUGGCCGGGGCCGGCUGGGGAGAUGCCGGAGAUAGGUCUCGGCCAGGGGACGAAAGAUCUCGGGGUUUUUACGCUUCCCCGAGGUCAACACCGAGAAGAAGGCAAGGUGGAAGGAGGGCGUGCACACAGGCAAGGUAGAGAGGUUCCGCGACGGCUAGGGUAGCUGGGUGGACUUGGGUAGCAAAAGGGUCAAGAAAACCCUAGCUGCCAUAUUUAUACUAAAUGUUCUAUUUGCCGAAAACCCCUCUAAAGCAUAAUAUUUACAGUCCAGCCCCUGCCAAUGUGUGUAACUUGCGCGCACGUACCCCAACGUUCGAAAUCACGCGAAACGACGCAUAAAAUAUUGGACAUUUUCGCGAUUUAACCAUUUUGCCCAUUUGACCUCUCAGCGAACAUCUCGCUUUUUCCAAAGAUCCGUCGGUCGGAUUUCCGAUUGGAUCACGCCAGCGCAUUCAGCAUGACCGGGGCAUCGAAUCUAGUAUUUCGUUUCAUCUGAUUUGAUCUCCGGUUCACGACGAAACCCACCCUCAAUGAGUCCACCAAAUAGCCACAUAUUUAUAUAUGUAAAACCGAUCAAACCCCCUUUUCUUGACAACCGUGCAUCAGAACCCAAUUCCGUCAGUGCCAUUGGGUCCAGAAUAGUCGAGCCGUUCGAAACGAGCUAUUGGAUCGCUAUGAACGGAGUCCGAUACAUGCCGAAAGCCAACUCUACUCCGUAGCUUCUCCGAAAAAUCGGAGUUACUAUUCACUUAAGUGAAAAUUAAAGAUCGCGUAACUUCUCCGUUCUAGCUCAUUUUCUCCUAAAACUUGACAAGUGCUUAUGUAAUUAAAUUACACACAUAAACAUCGUCAACGGAGAGUUUAGUUGUAUUGUCAAAAUCUUAGUCCUUACACGAAUGUUGUCCGAUUUCUCGUUCAUAGCCCCACCAACGACGAGCUGCAAUCAAUAGCCAAUAGAUUUUGUGGAGAAAAUUGGAAAAAGAUUAUUUUUUCUAAAUUUUUGGAGAUUAUGGCUCAUCUUAUGAAGGUAUGACUUUUUUUUCUAAGAGAUAGGUAGCAUACUACCCGCUUUGUUUAUUUCAUUUAGAAAUAAACUUAGCUAGAAAUGUGAAUCAAUUAGGAUUCGAACUUGAGACCUCAGGUACCAAUCACCAAGCUCUUUGCCACUUGUGCUAGGGACGGUCGGUUAUGAAGGUAUGAUUUUCAUGCUGGAAAUCCAUUUUCUUUCUUUUUCUUCUUCUCCUUCUUCUUAUAAUUAUUUGUUCUUCUUCUUCUUCUUCUUCUUCUUCUUCUUCUUCGUUUCCUACUGUCUGCCGCGAACGAACCGGCCCUGCCGUAGGUUGUUUCUGAAGCGAGUGGUCAUUCAUAGUAGAGAUAAAAUUUAUUUAUAUUUUAUUUUGAAAUCAGGAUUAUAGGUUCAUGGCUUCCAACAAACUCAAAAAUCUGCUGUUAAUUACCCCACACUUUCGGUGUUAAGGAACCCUCGAUUAAGAGACCAAAUAUAAAUGCUGAUAAUAAAAGAGACAAAACAGGCAAAUAAAAUUUUAUUGAUAUGAUUUGCCGUGUACAUGGCUUAAGCAGGGGCAUACCCCCACUGUACAUGAAUUUAGCGACUAGAAGGUCGAUUGAAGUUUUGAUGCUCAGUUUAAUGACAUGACGGUCGGUUUAAGUUUGGUGCUCAGUUUAAUGACAUGGCGGUCGAGUUCACCUUGGUUGUAUAUUCCAAGGUGGAGAUGUGACCAAACCCCAAGUAUAUGUAUUGAGGUAGAUUGGAUUUGAUAUUAUCCGAAAAUAGAGAAUGGCUAAUUCCUGAGUGUAUGGGUCAGGAUUAACCGAGUUUAAUAUAUUUUCACUCUAGUUAUAUGUGCUAGAGUGAAGAUCUAACUAAGCCCUAAGGUAUUGCGUUAGGGUUCAUCGGAUUUGAUUCGUAUGAGCUCCAAGUAUAUGUAUUAGAGCUCGAUCGGGUAUGGAUUUCACUCUAGAUAUAUGUGCUAGAGCAAAAGGCUGACUAGACCCGAAGUAUAUGGGUUAGGACUAGUCGAGCAUGGUUUGACUUCCAUUCUAGGUAUAUGUGCUAGAGCAAAAGACUGACUAGACCCUAAGUAUAUGUGUUAGGGUUAGUUGAGCAUGGUUUGACUUUCACUCUAGGUAUAUGUGCUAGAGCAAAAGGCUGACUAGACCCUAAGUAUAUGGGCUAGGGUUAGUCGACCAUGGUUUGACUUCCACUCUAGGUAUAUGUGCUAGAGCAAAAAACUGACUAGACCCUAAGUAUAUGGGUUAGGGUUAGUCGGAUGAACUCUAAGUAUAUGUGUCAGAGUUUGAAAAAACUUGAUAUCAUUUGACUGAAUUCUAAGUAUAUGGCUUAGAAUUGUGUCGAUUUGGAGAUGUUUUGCCUUAGUUAUAUGUGCUAAGGCGAUUGACUUAGCCCUAAGUAUAUAUAUUAGAGGUAGUCGAUAUUUAAUUUUCACUCUAGGUAUAUGAACCAGAGUAGAAAAGGUUCAUGAUGAACUUGGAUUUAGUUUAAUGACUUUACGGUCGUUUGAUUUUGGGUUUAGUUUAACGACUUUACGGUCGUUUGAAUUUGGGUUUAGUUUAACGAUGUUUCGGUCGUUUGUAUUUGGGUUUAGUUUAAUGACGUUUCGAUCGUUUGAAUUUGAAAUUAGUUUAACGACUUUACGGUCGUAUGAAUUUAGAUUUAGUUUAACGACUUUACGGUCGUUUGAAUUUGGGUUUAGUUUAACGACUUUUCGGUCGUUUGAAUUUGGGUUUAGUUUAACGACGUUUCGGUCGUUUGAAUUUGGGUUUAGUUUCACGACUUUCGGUCGUUUGAAUUUGGGUUUAGUUUCACGACUUUUCGGUCGUUUGAAUUUGGGUUUAGUUUCACGACUUUUCGGUCGUUUGAAUUUGGAUUUAAUUUAACGACGUUUCGAUCGUUUGAAUUUGGGUUUAGUUUAACGACGUUUCGGUCGUCGUUUGAAUUUGGGUUUAGUUUAACGACUUUUCGGUCGUUUGGAUUUGGGUUUAGUUUAGCGACUUUUCGGUCGUCGUUUGAAUUUGGGUUUAGUUUAACGACUUUUCGAUCGUUUGGAUNAAGUAUUUGGUAUUUAGUUCAAGCACUUGGUUUGUGAUGCUUGGUAUGGGUUCAAGUACUUGGUAUUUGGUUCAAGUACUUAGUAUUUGGUUCAAGUACUUGGUACUUGGUUCGAUUCAAAGGUAUAGGUUCAAGUACUUGGUAUUUGGUUUAGGGUGUAUAGAUUGGAGUACUUGGUACUUAGUUCAAGUACUUGGUACUUGGUUCAGGUACUUGGUAUAGGUUCAAGUACUUGGUUUAGGGUGUAUGGAUUAGAGUACUUGGUGGUGGGUUCAAGUAUUUGGUACUCGGUUCAGAUAUUUGGUUUAAGUAUGUGGGUUGUUUAGUUUAGCGACUUUGCGGUCGUAGGUUUUGGGUUUAGUUUAACGACUUUACGGUCGACUGAAAUUGAGAUGUUCAUGAAACUGAUUCAUGAAAUUAAUUCAUGUUAGGAGCCCAUUUGUAAAGUCCAUUGAAUUAAUUGAUAAAAUUAAUUCAUGAUAGGGGCCAUUUAGAGAACCCAUUGAAAAAAAUUAAUUUAUGAUAAUGAGCCAUUGGGAAGGCCAAUUAGUUUAUGAAAUUAAUUUAUGACAAGGAGGGCCCAUAAAAUUAAUUCAUAGAAUUAAUUUAUGAUAACGAGUCCAGUUGAAAAGCCCAAGAAAUUAAUUCAUACAAAGGGGACCGUUUGGCAACCCAUUAAUUUAUGGAAUUAAUUCAUAAUAAAGGGGGCCCAUUUAGAAAGCCCAAGAACUCGGUUUGGGUUAGAGGUAUUUGGAUGACAUAGAUUUAGUAGAUUUGGUUGGGUUUUAUUUGUGGACUUUGAAUUUUGGGUCUCAUUUGUAGACUUCGGGUUUUGGAAUUUUAUUUGUGGACUUUGAAAUUUUUGGGAUUUUAUUUGUGGACUUUUGGAUUUUUGGGAUUUUAUUUGUGGACUUUGGGAUUUUGGGGAUUUUAUUUGUGGACUUUGGGUUAAGAAAUUCAUUCACAUGAAUUUUUUUAUUGGUUUUGGACCCAAAUCUGCAUGUGGGUUGAGCUAGACUGCGGGCUUUGCAUGUUCUGGGCCCGAAUCCGUAUGUGGGCUAGAUUUUUAUUGAUUUUGCAUUCAAAAUUUGCACGUGGGCUGGAUUUCGGGCACUACAUGUUUUGGGCUUUGGACCCGAAUUUGCAUGUGGACUGAAAUCAGUCUUGCACUUUACAUGGUCUGGGCCUUGGGCUCGAAUUUGUAUGUGGGCUCUGCAUUAUUUUUUUUUUUGACAGCUUAUGAAGUUGAGCCCGUAAUGGAUUGAACCAUUUUCAAAAUAAAGCAAGUCCAAUUCUUCAAAUUCUUUUCUUUUCUUUUUUUCUUUCUUUUAAGAUUGCUUGUNAAUAACUUUGCAAUUCAAGUAGUUUGAUAAGUUAAUAAUAAAUUUGUCAUUUCAAAUAUAAAGUAUAUAAUAUUAUAAAUCUAGAUAAGUUAGUGGCAAACCCAUCUGAACCUAAUUUUGUUCAGAUGGCAAGCGGGAAAGGGCUUAGUAAUUUUGUUAAAAUUCAGAAGAGUCCUAAACUUAAGUUUCUAAUUUUUUUUAAAAAACACAAAGAUGAAGAUGAUAGUUAAUCGGUGGAGAGAGAGAGCGAGAGAGAGAGAGAGAGAGAGAGAGAGAGUUGGGUUUGAGUUGCAACCCAACUCUCUCUCUCUCUCUCUGUACGACACUGAGAAACACAGAGAGAGGGAGGGUUGCUCUCCUCUUUUUCUUUCUUUUUUUUUUUUUUGCUGUUUCUUUUUUUUUUUAUAUUCAUUGUUUUUGUCCAAAUAAACGAAAUUGAUCACGUCGAGCCAUACAAUUGAAUCGAACAAAGAUGGCGAAUCGAAAAGAACCUGACCAUUUUUUAUUAUCAUUUAUUUUAUCACGUUUUGUUCAAGUACGCGGAGUUUAAUCGUGUCGAGCCUAUCACGAAGAUGGCCGCUCGAUUAACCAUUUUGAUCAUAUCGAGCCUAUCACGAAGAUGGCUACACGGUUUACGCUUUCGACCAUGUCGAGCUUAUCGCGAAGAUGGCCACACAGUUUUCGUAACAAAAUAAAUGAUGCUCGAUCACCUAUUUUGACCAUGUCGAGCCUAUCACGAAGAUGGCCGCACGGUUUACGUAAUAAAAUAUCCGGUUCGAUCAAUCAUUUUGACCAUGUCAAGCCUAUUACGAAGAUGGCCGCACAGUUUGGAGAUUAGCGGUGCAUACGCAAGGCGGAAGUGACGAUUUAAUAUCAAAUUUGGUCGGUUCGAAACCUAUCACGAAGAUGGUCGGGUUGAUCAAAUUGACAAAAAAACGCACUUACGCUAUGCGUAUGCAUGCAUUUCUCCUAUUGUUGUAGAAGUCGUCGUGAUUGUCGUUAGGGAAGUCGCCAAGAUCGCCGCCGCCGUUGUCGUUGUCGUCGUCAUCGUCGUCAGAAUCGUCGUAACCGUCGUCAUCGUGAUCGUGCUUCAACACUUUUCUCCUUUUUUUUUUUUUUUUUUUUUUUUUUUUUUUUUUUUUUUUUUUUUUUUUUUUUUUUUUUUUUUUUUUUUUUUUUUUUUUUUUUUUUUUUUUUUUUUUUUUUUUUUUUUUUUUUUUUUUUUUUUUUUUUUUUUUUUUUUUUUUUUUUUUUUUUUUUUUUUUUUUUUUUUUUUUUUUUUUUUUUUUUUUUUUUUUUUUUUUUUUUUUUUUUUUUUUUUUUUUUUUUUUUUUUUUUUUUUUUUUUUUUUUUUUUUUUUUUUUUUUUUUUUUUUUUUUUUUUUUUUUUUUUUUUUUUUUUUUUUUUUUUUUUUUUUUUUUUUUUUUUUUUUUUUUUUUUUUUUUUUUUUUUUUUUUUUUUUUUUUUUUUUUUUUUUUUUUUUUUUUUUUUUUUUUUUUUUUUUUUUUUUUUUUUUUUUUUUUUUUUUUUUUUUUUUUUUUUUUUUUUUUUUUUUUUUUUUUUUUUUUUUUUUUUUUUUUUUUUUUUUUUUUUUUUUUUUUUUUUUUUUUUUUUUUUUUUUUUUUUUUUUUUUUUUGCUACCAACGCGUGGAGGGAGGAGAGGGGUGAAAUCCCCCUGUCCACUAGUAGGAAGGAAUCAACAAAAGGAAAAAAAAAAAUUGUUUCCUUCUUCUUUUUUAAUACUUUUUUUUUGAAGAAUCCAAAUAAGCUAGGAUUAUAUUGGAUUCUUUCUUUUCUUUUUUUUGAAUCUUUCCUUUCUCUAUUUCCUUCCUUCUAUAUUCCCAAAUUGAAUUUCAAAUUUCAAAAUUUUUUUACCCCAACACCUGCUACUUUAGAUAACUAAAACUCAUGAAGAACUAUUCACAGGGGAUUCAAUACUCUAUUUGCAACGCAACAAAAAGGACAAUAAAAUAUAUUUCAAAGUUAAGACUCUUGAUAACCAUAAUGAAGAUAUUCAUCGUAAAAAGAAAUAAGAGCCUAUUUUAUCAUCUCCCUCUGAUACCCUCCUCCAGGUAGCUGCAUCAUCCCCCAUCACUAUUUUCCUUUUACCCUCACAUUCUUGAUCAUUCUUUUGAGAUAAACCAAAAUUUUCUGUUGAAUUAAUUAAUUUAGAUUUCGUGACUCAUCGGCGACAAAUACGGUGAAGUAUAUGACGAACGACAAGCAUGAUGAACUUAAAAAGGCCUUUGCAUUCUUCGACCUCGAUACGGAUGGUGCAAUACAUGCACCGUUCAAUCUACCUCCUAAAACAUUUCUUCAAUUCUGUUUAAAACCUCUUAAUGUUCUAUGUAGGAUUUAUGUUUAAAUUUGUUUAAACAUUUUAUUUGUUCUAUGUAGGAUUAAUCAAUGAUAAACAACUAGCGAAUGUUGUCCGAUUUAUCAGGCGUGACCCUACCAACGACGAGCUACAAUCAUUAGCUAAUAGAAUUAGUGGAGAAAAAUUGAAAAAAGUUUAGUUUUUCUAAAUUUUUGGAAAUUAUGCUUAUCUUAUGAAGGUAUGGUUUUGAUUGCUGGAAAACCAUUUUCUUUCCUUGUCUUCUUCUCCUCCUUCUUCUUCUUCACCUCCCUCUUCUUCUUUUUAUUAUUGUUCUUAUUCUUAUUUUUCUUCUUCUUCUUCUUCUUUUUCUUCUUCUCUUUCUUCUUCUUCUUCUUCUUAUUUGUUCUAUGUAGGAUAAAUCAAUGAUAAACAACAUGCGAAUGUUGUCCAAUUUCUCAGACAUAGCCCUACCAACGAUGAGCUGCAAUCAUUAGCUAAUAGAAUUUGUGGAGAAAAUUGGAAAAUGAUUAGUUUUUCAAAAUUUUUGAAAAGUAUUGCUCAUCUUAUGAAGGUAUGGUAUUGAUUGCUGGAAAUCCAUUUUCUUUCUUUUUCUCCUCCUCCUCAUUAUUAUUGUUUUGAUUCUGCUUCUUCUUUAUUUCCUACUACUUCAGAUAACUGACACUCAUGAGGAGCUCUUCAAGGGGGAUUCAAUACUCUGCUUGCAAUGCAACAUGAAAGGUAAUAAAAAAUAUUUCAAGGUUAAGAGUCUUGAAAACCAUAACGAUGAUGUUCAUCAAAAAAUAAAAAAAGAGCCCAUUUAACUAUCUCUCUUUGAUACCCUCCUCUAGGUAGCUGGAUCAUUCUCGACCAUCAUUUUCCUUUUACACUCAUAUUCUUGAUCAUUCUUUUGAGAUAAACGAAAUUUUUCUGCUGAAUUAAUUUAUUUAGAAUUCAUGGACUUAUCGGCGACAAAUACGGUGAAGUAUAUGACCAACGACGAGCAUGAUGAACUCGAAAAGACCUUUGCAUUCUUCGACCUCCAUACGGAGGGUGCGUUAUAUGCACCCUUCAAUUUAUCUUCUAAAAUAUUUCUUCAAUUCUGUUUAAAACCUCUUAUUGUUCUAUGUAGGAUUAUUUUUGAAAUUUGUUUAAAUAUUUUCUUGUUCUAUGUAGAAUUAAUCAAUAAUACGAAUGUUGUCCGAUUUCCCGGACAUAGCCCAACCGACAAAGAGCUGCAAUCAUUAGCCAAUAGAAUUUGUGGAGAAAAUUAGAAAAAGAUUAGUUUUUUUCUAAAUUUUUGAAAAUUAUAUCUCAUCUUAUGAAGAUAUGAUUUUGAUUGUUAGAAAUCCUUUUUUUUUUUCCUUUUUGCUUCUUCUUCUCCUCCUUCUUUUUCUUCUUAUUAUUAUCGUUCUUCUUCUUCUUCGUUUCCUGCUACUUCAGAUAACUGACACUCAUGAGAAGCUCUUCAAUGGGGAUUCAAUACUCUAUUUGCAAUGUAACGAGAAGGACAAUAAAAAAUAUUUCAAGGUUAAGAGUCUUGAACGCCAUAACGAAGAUGUUCACCGCAAAAAGAAAAAAGAGCUUAUUUAACCAUCUCUCUCUGAUACCCUCCUCCACGUAGCUGGAUCAUCCCGCACCACCAUUCUCCUUUUACCCUCAUAUUCUUAAUCAUUCUUUUGAGAUAAACCAAAAUUUUCUACUAAAUUAAUUUCGUGACUCAUCGGCGAUAGAUACGACGAAGUGUAUGACGAACGACGAGCAUGAUGAACUCGAAAAGGCCUUUGCAUUCUUCGACCUCGAUACGGAUGGUGCAGUACAUGCAAUAAAUUUAUCUUCUAAAAAUAUUUAUUCAAUUCUGUUUAAACCUUUUAUUGUUCUACGCAGGAUUAAUCUUUAAGUUUGUUUAAACAUUUAUUUGUUCUAUGUAGAUUUAAUCGAUGAUAAACAACUUGUGAAUAUUGUCCGAUUUCUCAGACAUAGCCCCACCGACGACGAGCUGCAAUCAUCAGCCAAUAGAAUUGGUGGAGAAAUUGGAAAAAGAUUAGUUUUUCUAAAUUUUUGAAAAUUAUGACUCAUCUUCAUAUAUGAUUUUGAUUGCAGGAAAUCCAUUUUCUUUCUUUUUCUUCUUCUCCUCUUUCUUAUUAUUGUCCUUAUUCUUCUUCUUCUUCUUCUUCUUCUACUUCUUCGUUUCCUGCUACUUCAAAUAACUAACACUCAUGAGGAGCUCUCCAAAGAGGGGAUUCAAUACUCUGCUUGCAAUGCAACAAGAAGGGCAAUAAAAAUUAUUUCAAGGUUAAUAGUCUUGAAAACUAUAACGAAGAUGUUCAACACAAAAAUAAAAGAAGAGCCCAUUUAACCAUCUCUCUCUGAGACACUCCUCCAGGUAGCUAUAUCAUCCCCCACCACACUUCUACUUUUACACUCAUAUUGUUGAUCAUACUUUUGAGAUAAAUCAAAAUUUUCUGCUGAAUUAGUUUAUUUAGAAUUCGUGGACUUAUCGGCGACAAAUACGGUGAAGUAUAUGACCAAGGACGAGCAUGAUGAACUCGAAAAGGCCUUUGCACUCUUCGACCUCCAUACGGAUGGUGCAAUAUAUGCACCCUUCAAUUUAUCUUCUAAAAUAUUUCUUCAAUUUUGUUUAAAACCUCUUAUUGUUCUAUGUAAGAUUAUUUUUGAAAUUUGUUUAAAUAUUUUCUUUGUUCUAUGUUGAAUUAAUCAAUAAUAAACAACUUGCGAAUGUUGCCUGAUUUCCCAGACAUAGCCCAAUCGAUGAAGAGCUGCAAUCAUUAGCCAAAAGAAUUUGUGGAGAAAAUUGAAAAAAGAUUAGUUUUUUAAAAUUUUUGAAAAUUAUGGCUCUAUCUUAUGAAGAUAUGAUUUUGAUUGCUGGGAAUCCAUUUUUUUUUCUUUUUCUUAUUCUCCUCCUCCUUAUUAUUAUUGUUGUUGUUCUUCUUCUUCUUUGUUUCCUACUACUUCAAAUAACUGACACUCAUGAGAAGCUUUUCAAUGGGGAUUCAAUACUCUAUUUGCAAUGCAACGACAAGGGCAAUAAAAAAUAUUUCAAGGUUAAGAGUCUUGAAAGCCACAACGAAGAUGUUCACCGCAAAAAAACGAAGAACCUAUUUAACCAUCUCUCUCUGAUACCCGCCUCCACGUAGCUGGAUCAUCCCACACCAUCAUUCUCCUUUUACCCUCAUAUUCUUAAUCAUUCUUUUGAGAUAAACCAAAAUUUUCUGCUGAAUUAAUUAAUUUAGAUUUCGUGAUUCAUCGGCGAGAUCUACGGUGAAGUAUAUGACGAACGACGAACAUGAUGAACUCGAAAAGGCCUUUGCAUUCUUCGACCUCAAUACAGAUGGUGCAGUACAUGCAAUGAAUUUAUCUUCUAAAAUAUUUAUUCAUUUCUAUUUAAAACCUUUUAUUAUUAUAUGUUGGAUUAAUCUUUAAAUUUGUUUAAACAUUUUAUUUGUUCUAUGUAGGUUUAAUCGAUGAUAAACAACUUGCGAAUAUUGUCCGAUUUCUCAGACAUAGCUCCAUCGACGACAAGCUGCAAUCAUUAGCUAAUAUAAUUGGUGGAGAAAAUACGUAAAAGAUUAGUUUUUCUAUACUUUUGAAAAGUAUGGCUCAUAUUAUGAAGGUAUGGUUUUGAUUGAAGGAAAUCCAUUUUCUAUCUUUUUCUUCUUCUCCUCCUUCAUCUUCUUAUUAUUGUCCUUAUUCUUCUUCUUCUUCUUCUUCCUCAUUCUUGCUACUUCAGAUAACUAACACUUAUGAGGAGCUCUUCCAAGGGGAUUCAAUGCUCUGCUUGCAAUGCAACAAGAAGGGCAAUAAAAAAUAUUUCAAUGUUACUUGUCUUGAAAACCAUAACGAAGAUGUUCAACGCAAAAAUGAAAGAAGAGCCUAUUUAACCAUCUCUCUUUGAUACACUCCUCCAGGAAGCUGGAUCAUCCCGCACCACCAUUCUACACUCAUAUUGUUGAUCAUACUUUUGAGAUAUACCAAAAUUUUUUGUUGAAUUAAUUACUUUAGAAUUUGUGGACUCAUCGGUGACAAAUAUGGCGAAGUAUAUGACAAACGACGAGCAUGAUGAACUCGAAAAGGCCUUUGCAUUCUUCAACCUCGGUACGGAUGGUGUAGUAUAUGCACCCUUCAAUUUAUCUUCUAAAAUAUUUCUUCAAUUCUAUUUAAAACCUCUUAUUGUUCUUUGUAGGAUUAAUCUCAAAUUUUGUUUUAAUAUUUUAUUUGUUCUAUGUAGAAUUAAUCGAUGAUAAACAACUUGCGAAUGUUGUCCGAUUUCUCGGACAUAGCCCCACCGACGACGAGCUACAAUCAUUAGCCAAUAGAAUUGGUGGAGAAAAUUGGAAAAAGUUUAGUUUUUCUAAAUUUUUGGAAUUUAUAGCUCCUCUUAUGAAAGUAUGGUUUUGAUUACAGAAAAUCUAUUUUCCUUCUUUUUCUUCUUCUCCUCCUUCUUCUUCUUGUUCUUAUUCUUCUUCUUCAUUUCCUGCUACUUCAGAUAACAAAAACUCAUGAGGAGCUCUUCAAGGGGGAUUCAAUACUCUGCUUGCAAUGCAACAAGGGCAAUAAAAAAUAUGUCAAGGCUAAGAGUCUUGAAAGCCAUAGCGAAGAUGUUCAACGUAAAAAGAAAGAAGAGAUCUCUUUUGAUACCCUCUUCUAGGUAGCUGGAUCAUCCCCCACCACCAUUCUCCUUUUACACUCAUAUUCUUAAUCAUUCUUUUGGGAUAAACGACAAUUUUCUGCUGAAUUAAUUAAUUUAGAAUUCAUAAAAUUAUCGGUGACAAAUAUGGCGAAGUAUAUGACAGAUGGCGAGCAUGGUGAACUGGAAAAGGCCUUUGCAUUUUUCGACCUAGGUAUGGAUGGUGCAGUAUAUGCACCCUUCAAUUUAUCUUCUAAAAUAUUUCUUCAAUUCUGUUUAAAACCUCUUAUUGUUCUAUGUUGGAUUAAUCUUGAAAUUUAUUUAAACAUUUUAUUCGUUCUAUGUAGAAUUAAUCGAUGAUAAACAACUUGCAAAUGUCAUCUGAUUUCUUGAACAUAGCCCCACCGAUGAAGAGUUGCAAUAAUUAGCCAAUAGAAUUUGUGGAGAAAAUUGAAAAAAUAUUAGUUUUUGUAAAUUUUUAGAAAUUAUGGCUCAUCUUAUAAAGAUAUGAUUUUGUUUGCUGGAAAUCUAUUUUCUUUCUUUUUCUUCUUCUCCUCCUUCUUCUCUUAUUAUUAUUAUUAUUAUUAUUAUUAUUAUUAUUAUUAUUAUUCUUUGUUUCCUGCUACUUCAGAUAACUGACACUCAUGAGAAGCUCUUCAAUGGGGAUUCAAUACUCUGCUUGCAAUGCAAAAAUAAGGGCAAUAAAAAAUAUUUCAAGGUUAAGAGUCUUGAAAGCCAUAACGAAGGUUCACCGCGAAAAGAAAGAAAAGCCCAUUUAACCAUCUCUCUCUAAUACCUUCUCCAGGUAGCUAGAUCAUCCCCACCACCAUUCUCCUUUUAUCUUCAUAUUCUUGAUCAUUCUUUUGAGAUAAACCAAAAUUUUCUGCUGAAUUAAUUAAUUUUGAAUUUGUGGACUCUUCGGCGACAAAUACGACAAAGUAUAUGACGAACAACGAAAAUGAUGAACUUGAAAAGGCCUUUUAUUCUUCGACCUCAAUAUGGAUUAUGCAUUAUAUUCACCCUUCAAUUUAUCUUCUAAAAUCUUUCUUCAAUUCAGUUUAAAUCCUCUUAUUGUUCUAUGUAGGAUUAAUCUUGAAAUUUAUUUAAACAUUUUAUUUGUUCUAUGUAGGAUUAGUCGAUGAUAAACAACUUGCGAAUGUUGUCCAAUUUCUCAGAUAUAGCCCCAACGACGAUAAGCUGCAAUCAUUAGCUAAUAGAAUUUUUGGAGAAAACUAGAAAAAGAUUAGUUUUUAUAGAUUUUUGGAAAUUAUGGCUCAUCUUUUGAAGGUAUGGUUUUGAUUGCUGGAAAUCCAUUUUCUUUCUUUUUCUUCUUGUCCUCCUUUUAAUUAUUAUUAUUGUUCUUCUUCUUCUUCGUUUCUUGGUACUUCAUAUAACUGACACUCAUGAGGAGAUCUUUAAAGGGGAUUCAACACUCUACUUGUAAUGCAACAAGAAGGGCAAUAAGAAAUAUUUGAAGGUUAAAAGUCUUGAAAGCCAUAACGAAAAUGUUCAUCGCAAAAAGAGGAACAUGUGCAAACUCUGUAGCAACGCCUUUGCGUCCAAGAUAGUGCUAGAGUUCCACGAAAUCAAGUAUCAUUGAAUGUGAAGUUGGUACCCCUGCAGAUUAGGAAUGACUUGUUCUCUUGAAGAGAUAAAAGUUCCUUUCUAUUUUGCUUCAUUUUUCUUUUAAACCUCCCUUUGGGAGUGAAACUUAGGAGGGAUUUGAAUACAAUCCAUAGAUUGGAUUAGAAGGGGGCAAUCGUCACCGUCUUGAGCUGCUCAGUCCUAUCCAUUGGAUUUCACUUAAGCCAGAUGCAUCUUGGCCGAUCAAGUUCCCUAACCGCCUUAACCGUGAGUGUCUCUGCAUUAUUUCUUUCUCCUUUGGUAAUGACCCAAUAGUCCCAUAUUGAGUGGGAAACUUGUAGCGCCCCAAUAGUUCCACAUCGGGUGAGAAACUAAUUCUGAUUAGAAUAUAUGAGACCUACAUGCUAGUAAUAGUAACUAGGCUUAAGCAUUUUGUGUUGAUGGUUUGGGCCCAACGAGUUAUUGUUACUAGCGGGUCAGGUCGUUACAAUUGGUAUCAGAGUCGAAUACUAGCCGAAAGUGUGAGAGCUAAGUGCUAUGCAGGGCAAAGUGCUACACCAACGGGUUUGGUGGGAGUCACCUCUUGAACCCGUAGGAGCCACCACUAGAAUCUCACAUCGCCUAGUAAUUCUGGUCCUGGUCUGUUUGUCUGUUAUCUGGUCUAGACCCGACGAGGAUGUCAGGGUCUAAACAGGGGAAGUUUAUAAUGCCUCAAUAGUCCCACAUCGGGUGGAAAACUAAUUCUGAUUAGAAUAUAUGAGACCUACACGCUAAUAAUAAUAACUGGGCUUAAACAUUUUAGGCCAGUGGUUUGGGUCUAACGAGUUAUUGUUGCUAGCGGAUCGGGUCGUUACACCUUUAUUACAGCAUUGCCAUUCAUCCUAACUAUAGAAAAGGGUCAGCUACUGUAAUUAUAUGUAGAAAACUUUAGCAUCAAGUGAUGCUUAUCAAUUGAUGAGAAUGCUCUACUCCUGAAGUUAUACAUACCAAGUUGACAGCACAGAUAUGUUACAUUAAAUUUGGCUAACGCUGGACCGGUAUGUGUGAUAACACAACUAAACAGUAAGUCAAUGCAAGGCCCUGGAUGAACGCAUCCAACAGAAACACAGAAGUCCGUGAUCUCGGAUUGUUCGCUCUCACAUUACACACUGCCUAAGUGAAGCAAGAUUAUUUCACUACAUAUUUCACUGUGACCCCAGAAUGCAAGUUAAUAACUCUCUUAAAAGACAAACUGAAUACUUUACAACAUUUUCCAUUAUACUUAGGAGAACAUAAUAUAUAGAAACUAUCAAAAUGAUCAUUCAAAAAGAAAGGCUUGCAUAGAAGUCCACAUUUUUCACAAAAAAAAAGCUGUAUAUUACAUGUAUACACAUCAAUUGUUUUUCACUGAGAUACAAUCAAGACUAACACGGAAAUGAGGGAGUUCCUCAAUAUUAGUGCGAUGGCGAUUCGCGAAAUGAAUUCAUCGGCUGUAUAUAUCAUCAUCUUCUGAGUCAGAAACCCCCAGCAUAGCAAGGGCUAAGUGACUUUUCACAUCAGACAUCUCCAGUAGACCGUGCAGCCUAGUACUACCAUAUCCAACAAAGCAACCAUGGCCCAUAAAGAUGGGCCAGUCGCCACCACAAUUGCCUUGACCUUGCAAUAUUGCAAUCACUUGAUCAAUGCUUGGUCUUCCGGAAUCCUCACAGCUUAAGCAAGCAGUGGCCGCAUGAACCAUCCGACUCAUCUCAUUUGAUGAAUUUGAGUCGAGCUUUAUCCUUGGGUCAAGCAAUUUCUCCAUGGCUCCUUCGCCUUGCUGCAAAAGCGGCCUAGCCUGUCAAUAAGGGAAAAAUCAGUCUAUAGUAGUGAAAAGGAAAAAAAUGACAUUAGAACUGACGAUUCAUACUACAGAGCUAGUCAAGCAAGUAGGUUAGCCCUUAAUGUAUUAUUUGUGGAAGAUUGGGAAUCAUCUUUUAAGUUGUAAUGCUGUUUCAUGACAUUAAAGGUGAAACUUUUUCCAAGUACAGAAAAAGAAUGUAAAACAUGGUGAAAACUUGGGUGCUGUAGAAACACUGACACUCUCCAUACAAUGGUGUACUAGAAGAUGAAACUUCUUUCUGAAUGAAAUCAUUGCAAGUUUAGCAUCUAAUCCAAAUCAAGACAACUAUCAGUGAAAGGGGCUUCUUUCAGCGGCUGGAAUCCUCUCUCUUCUGAGAGGUAAUCAUUGUUCAGUGGGAAUGUCAGACCCUUGCAACAUCCUCCACCAUUCCAGAAUUCUCAAAAAGAAAAGCAAACAGAUUAUUUUUUAAAAAAAUCAACAAACACAAGCGGAGACACAUUCUACGAUGCGGUAAUCAAAUUGCCUGACAGGAUAAAUAACUUGAUGGCCUUUAUAGUUCUCCAACUUUUUGGGCAUGACUAGUAGCAUGACCAUUUUGCAAGGAGCCUUCAUUUUGUGAACACUUGAGAUAAACCUUUUGAUUUCACUUAGGAAGUGUUUGGAUUAACGCAAUCAUCAUUCUAGUGAGAGUAGAAACAUAGGUUAUUCCACCAACCACAAUACUUCUGAAAAGAUCCACCAGCUAUUUCUAGCAUUCCUUGCCAACAAUUUCCCUUGGGAAUGGUCCAAAGUCACCUUUUGGGGAAAGAACCAAACAGUAUUCCAUAACUAGGCAGCAGCUCAGACCAAUAUUUUCUCUCUUGCUGUACUUUAUUUACAAGCACAUUACAAUUCCAUCAAUCCAAGCAUCCCCUUAUGGGAUGCAGAAAAUACUGCCCUCUAGUUAGCUAGAUCACCAAUUCAGAUGCAGGCUAAAGGGUUCCAUAAUCUACUUCAGAAACGUCAGACCGUAAAUUAAGAUCACUAAUCAGAAAGGAUGCAUAGUUCUUCAUUGUUUUGCCAAGCUUGGAGCGCACAACCAAUGGCUACCCAAUAAGAUAAUUGUACAUUAUUCAAGUAUUGACUUGUAAGACUGAUAGCAAAGCAAAUGCAAGAAAGGACGUUUGCACAAUUGAGACAAUCAACAACACUAGAAUAUGGGACCUUAAAGAAUUUUGCUUCUCUUCCACAUUUUAAGAGCACUUUUCUUCAACAGAAAGGACAAAACUAAAUCCCACAUGAACACAGGGAUGUGACAUAUCUAAUGGAACACAUUCAAUCUAAAAAGCUUAAACCUGGUUCGAGCCCACUAGUAUGCAUAAACCUUUUUAGGUCUAGGCCCAUCAGCAUAUAUAUCAACCCUUUACUCUUUUAUUAAUUAUCAGAGAUGGGUGUAUUCACAUGUGUACUCUUAACAAUCUCUGCCCUUCACAUAUGAACCAAUCAACUCCCCUUUGAACUCUUUUUUUUUUUUUUGAACUCUCUAAGGCUCUAAGCACUGCAUCGUUUUUUGUUUUUUUUUAUUGCACUCUCUAAACAUUGCACCGAGUCACUUUUCGGCUCUUUAUUACAUCACGCCCUUCCACGUUCUUGUUUUAAACGAGUUACCGCGAACCCACUCAUCUGAGUCCAUACGCUUUUAACCAGCACUACUCAGGAAAUCAUCCGAGCCCAAAUGCCAGACUUGGGGGCCUAAUUCUUUUGAGUGCAUCAAACCAUCAUCUCGCGUUUAUCUGAGUCCAUGCGUUACCUGCUUUUCGGCUCUUUAUUACAUCACGCCUUUCCACGUUCUUGUUUUAAACGAGUCACCGCGAACCCACUCAUCUGAGUCCAUGCGCUUUUAACCAGCACUACUCGGGAAAUCAUCCGAGCCCAAAUGCCAGACUUGCGGGCCUAAUUCUUUUGAGUGCAUCAAACCAUCAUAUCGCGUUUAUCUGAGCCCAUGCGUUACCUCAUGCUUCUCAGGCCCAAUUCUUUUGAAUUCACUAAACCAUCAUAUAGCAUUACUAUGACCGCUCGUCGCAAACCUGUCGUAAAGAACAAAUCGCACCACACCAAGUAGAUGAGUAGCUAGAAUCAUCAAAACAUCAGCUCCUAUACCCACUUGUUAGGGAGUUCUGGACGCAGCCCAAGCCCACAUGAGCCCAAUGAUGUGAUAUAUCUAAUGGAAACAUGAAAAAAUGAAAGUAUAUAUCUAUUCUUUACUCUCUUAUUAAUUAUUUGAUGUGGGACUAUUCACAUAUGAUGAUGUUAAAUCUUAACAGUUAACACAUAUAACAAAAUACAGAAGAUUAUUUUUUCUAAACAGACCAUUCCUCUCAUGCCUUAUUGAGCAAAGAAGUUCCCACCAUGUCCUGGAGACGUACUAGAUUUAGAUAUCCCACACUUUGUAAUGCCUCCUCAUGAUUUUGACUUAAACCUUGUGAAUUGUCUUGCUUUUUGCUAGUCAAUAUUCUAUCUUCUGCUUUUAAACAAUUUCAUUGCCAAAAACUUCAGUUCAUAUAAAAUAACAAACUCCAAUACACCAUAUCAUUCCCAUUCAACUUGUUUCUCACCUAAAAUCUUCCUCAUAAUGUCUUCAAGGGAAGACCUGCAUACUUCUUGACAUAAGCUAGACUGGUCUGCUCAUCUGCAUAAAGAAAGUUGUGCUGCCAACCAAAAUACUUAAAUGCAUUCUCCACAAUGAAUUCUCCUAUGAAUUCUUCUCAUUAGAUUGACUCCAUUGGUCAAAUUCAAUAAGAUGAUUGUCAAAAUCAUUUGCUAAAUAGUUGAUCUACAAUUGAUGGGCGAUAUUCUUUAUCAGUCGAAGGAUAAUCUUCACAGGAUUGAUUUCUGCUAAAGUAUAAGAUUGCUCUGCAAUCCCUUUUAAUCACAAUUAUACCCAAUCUUCAUUAGGGAGUAAGUCUAGACAGCAUAGAAGUUUCUUACGCCGGGCUGCCUUUUUCUUUUUUAGGUAAGGAACUAUUUUCUACUUGGUUAAUUACUUAAAAUCAAGGGAUGAUGUAUAAUAUACCCUUCAAAACUUCAAAAAUAUCAAAUAUACCCCUGGUUGACCAAAAUGCCCUUAUUGAUUGCCAAAAACUCCUUCAAAUAUCCCUCAAACCCCAGGAUUUUACUAAUGGGAUUUGAGGUUUAGAAGGGUGUUUUGCGAAUAGAAGGGUAAAUUUAAAAUUUUUUAAUAGUAGAGGGGCAUAUAAGCAAGAGCCCUUAAAAUUAACUAGGGAUGCAAAAGGAUCAGGUCUUAUUGCUAGGCGAGAAAGUUGUAGCUCAAACAGCAACAUCAAAAUUUUAGACAAAAGUCCAGCCCAACCAUUUGUUCAGAUCCCAACCAUGAUCUAGGUCCAGUUUUGUUACAUAGGUUAGGCCACUCUAUAGUUUUAUGAGAUCAUCUGAUCAACAUGAUCUAGAUCCCAACCAUUUGUUCAGUUUGGGUUGGGGACAGACGGUUAGACGUUGCAAACAAAAAUGGCCACGUCGUCCCGCGCAGAAGCAUUAUUGCUGGCAUGCUACACUGACCCUUAUACCAUGACACUGAGCCAGCAAAAGCGUAUUGAUCAUGCUGUUGUCAUGCAACAUCCUACCUUAUAUUGUCAUUGUGUCAUGCUGGAAAACAGCUGCUCAGGUCCCAGUAGGUUUUAGAUUGUAGGAUUAGACAAGAAGGUGAAGAAGAGAAGGGUGUCACUCUAUUGGGAAUCGGUUUACUAAAACAUGCCUGAAACUUACCAUACAACUCUGCUGGAAACCCUAGCAAGAUCCAGCAGUGGAAACCAUGGAAGAUGAGAGGUAAAAUCUAACUUCCAGCAUCAUCAUUGGAAACAUCAUGCAAAGCUUCAAUUCCCACAAGUAGAUGCCCUAUUCUCAUAAGGGUGCUGUUGGGCAGUCGGACAAACUGCCAGUUUCUAAGCAACAUGAAGUUUCUACGCACACAAAGGCCAAGCCGGAAAAAAUCAUGCCAAUAACAAGUUAAUCCGUGGUCGAGAAUACAAAAUCCUCUGCUCUUGAAAAUAGUUUAACUUUGUUGAGCUAAAGACAAGCUUGGAAACAAAAUGUUGAAAAGAAAUCAAUUACUAAAGACAAAUUUGUUGACCAAAGACCAAACCUGAAAAGAAAAUAAUUAAAAGAUGAAUCCAUUACUAGAGACAAAAUAUAAGGUAAUUAGUUGCAAUAUAAGACAAAUUAUUGCAAAUUAGGGUAGUAGCUUGUCCCUGGAUGUAUUAGAACUACGUACUUGAUCCAUUGGUUAGCCUAUUGACAUAUAUGUCCUCAGUUCAUUUCCGUAUCUAACUCUCCGUAAAAGACAUUCCUAAACUACUAGCCUGUGCAGUAAUGUGGCUUAAAAAGAGAUUCCUAAGAAAGCAAGGUGCUUACAUUGACUUUCCUUCCUGGCUUGCUGUAUAUUUCACAUAUGCCUGAGGAGAGGGAGCCAGCGAGUCUGUUUCGCCAAACUGCUCUAACCUAGACUGUGGAAAGCAGUAGAAAAACUGCUUCAAUAUUGAGGUUCGACAUGUAUUGAUCCUAAGACUUCAACCUCUGCUUUCAAAGAGACCUUAUGCAAGAUGGAGUACAAGACCCUACCUUUUGUUCGCUUCAAAAUAUGAUUUAUAAUUAUUUAGAAAGCUUUUGAAUUUCUAAAAACUUUGAAAUAUAUUUUGAAUAUUUUUUGAUUUUUUUAUGAAUUUUUGAAAUAAAAAAAGAAUUAUGAAAAUUACAAAACUAAAGAAAAAUAGAAGAAAAUUUAGAAAAAUAAAAAAAGAAAAAAUAGAAAAGAUCAUCGAGACUCACUCCUAAACCGAACUCACUUCGAAAUCGGACUCACUCUAGAGUGAUGCAUUCAUGACAGAAAAAAAAAUAAAAAUAAAAAUUGCUUGUGCACCAAAACUCCGAUUCAUCUUUUAUUAAUUUAUUAGUAUCAUCAUCACAAAAUGAAGCUCUAUGUCUUACUUAUAUUAUCCUAAGCCUUAACUACGGAUAACCAACUUCAGAUUUAAUCUUAUCUUAAAUAACUAAUUAAAACAAUUUUAUCUAGAUAUUAACUAAAAAAUACAAUUAUACAAAGCUAAAAAUAAAUGCAAAUAAAAUCAAAUAAGCAGAUAGCUAAAAAUCCUUAUUUAACUAACUAAAAGAUACGAUCAACUAAUCUAAUAUAAUUUAAAAGACGAUGAACUUAAUUGGUUUAACCCGAUCAACUAGAUUGGGCCUAGUCAAGUCUGUAUCAAGACCACCGCCGUAGCACUGUAGCAAUAACAGCUACAAAAUGCAAAGAGGAACCUCAGUAAUAACAGCAAGAUAGACAGGGACCCCAUGUAUUAGCUUCUCCUAAAGUAUCAAGGCCAUCGCUGCCAACAACCAGGAGAGAGACCAACCUUAUGCUCUCCCACAAUCUCAUAGCUAGCAACUUUGUUCAUCACUAUGGCCUAGCUUACGGCGACCUACUUAUCCUCUGACUCUGCACUUGAAAGUCUCCACCAAUGCCUCGCCAUGGGCUUCCAAUUCCUCAAUGACAUCAUUCCUCAAUCAAUUACUUCCACUUCAAUGGCAAUCAAGCCAUCCAAAAGAACUUUGAGUGUGCAGAUCGCGUUCCACAUCAUCGACCUCAACACUCUGCAAAGCCUGAAAUGGCCAAGGUUGUUUCAUAUAUAGACCUUAUGGCCGACAGUAAGGCUCACGAGGCCGGGUUCAUUGAUGGAAGCAUAUAAGGCAAUGGGGAAGUGGCUUUACAACUUUGUUAUCACACUCAGGCUGCGCUUUGUGCUCUUUGAGUUUUUCCUGUGAUGGUAGUGCAAAAGCUCUGCCACUUGCUCAGAAAAGUCACCUACCAGCUCCAACAUGGUCUGACUCCACCGGGCUAACCUCAACUUCUUCCUUCACCUUACAAACUGAGGAAAUAAAAUGCAAACUACAGUGUUCCCCCCAGUACAAAAUAAUUUUUAUGUUAAGUUAUAAAUCCACAAGAUCAUAUUAGCAAACUUUAACAUGUAACAUGUUGGCAUCCCUGUAAAAGAAUUAUAUCACAAUGGUAAAGAAAAUUAAGAACUACACUUCCCUCUUUGCAUUGAACCUACUGUCAUGAUGAACUUAAGAGUUGAUUAUUAUGUUGCUGAGCGCCUUUAAGUGCAAUGGCAAAUUAAACAAUUGUUACACUACUCUUGUAGUCAGUCUCAAGUGUUGGCUGCAAAGACUCCAGUCAUUGUUUGAGAAAAGAAAGUAAAAUAGAGUAAUAGAACAGAAACACAUACUCAGCCAAAUGUGCAUCAUAUAGGGCUAUUUUGAAAUGAAAGAGAGCGCUAAGCUGUAAUUUUCAGUUCUUACCCAUAAGACCAAGUUUUCAUCUCCUUGAGGCCUGCUCUGAUCAAUUGCCUUUCUCCCAGUAAUUAGUUCCAACAGAACCACCCCAAAUGCAUAAACAUCAGUUUUAUCCGACAGUUUCCCAUGUUGGAAAUACUCAGGAGCCAGAUAGCUAAAUAAGCAACAACAAUAAGAACAUAUUCAACAAAUGGAUCACUGCAAAAGAAAAGCUAUGUGUUAAAUUACUUUUGAUAUUACCCAAAUGUUCCUUUGACAGACUUGCAAAGGAAAGGCAGAGAAGUCCCACGAGCCCAUGUAGCGAAUCCAAAAUCACAUAGCUGUUAACAAAAUUAAAUCAGUCCAACCAGAUGAUUUAAUAUCUAUUAAUGAAAUACUAUUUAUGUGGUCCAAGUACCCAUCAUUUCCAAACUUUCUUUCUCACUCCCUUUAAUCUUAGAGACGUAAAACUACGGCUUGAUUUUAGUGUAUAAAUUACUAUAUAACUAGGGUAGUAAAAGAAACUGAUCAUGGCGUAAUCCUAUUGUUCUAUGGACAUCUAUUUUAGAGAAGUACGAAGCAAGCAUUUUACAAAGAAGUGUGAUUUUAGGUGUUGAGUACACUACUCACAACUAUUAUUUCGAUAAGUCCACUGCUAUAAAGAUAAUCCUUUGACUUUGGAAUGUAAUUAGAUCCUCAACAGUUUGUAUUCAAACAAGUUAGUUUCUAUUCUUACCAAAUAUCUUAAUCUCAGCUAAUAUGUUUAUAUCCCCAACAUCCAGCAAUGCACGUCCACCCAUACGGAUAUAACUAGUGAAAAUUCAGAUUUUGUUGCUUAAUGUGCUAGCUCUCGCAUGCUAUGGACUGCCAUUGGUCAUAAUUAUGAAGGGAAAAUGCUUUCAGCAAAGAUACUAAAAAAAUUAGGUAUGAAUCAAGUAACAACCUAAGUACCAAAUUCCAGAACUAAAUAGCAGUUCAGGAAAAAUCAGAACUGUUUGCCCAAAACAAUUUGCACUUAGUCCGCUGACCAAAGCAAAUAUCACACAAGGUUUUAAGCGCCCAUUAGCAUAGGCCGUACCCACCGUACCAACAAGAUAUCAGCAUGAUACGACUCCCGUAUCGAUGGUACUGCUUAACAUCCUCUUUUGUUUGAAAUUAGCUGGUUUUCUCUGUAAUAACCCAACCCACUAGCACUAAUAACUCUUUGGGCCUAAACCACUGAUACAAAAUAUUUAAGCCUAGUUAUUAGUUCUAGUAUGUCAAUCACAUAUAAGCCCAUCAUACUCUUCCACAAUAUCCAAUGUGAGACCAAUGGAUUUCCUAUGUUUUAGGUCUUGACGCCCUUGUCAAUCCAUUCGCACACACAGCCCAAGAUCACCUGGCGAUGUAAGACUCACCUCACACACUUCCGACUAGUAAACUGACUCUAAUAUCAACUAUAAUUAUCCAGCCAACUAGCAUUUAUAACUUGUUACUUGGGCCCAAACCACUAACCCAAAAUAUUUAAACUCAAUUAUUUGCAAGUGUGUCAAUCACAUAUAAGCCCAUCACACUCCCAUAUUAUUCGAUGUGGGACUAUCAGGAUGUCACAAUCUCAAUAAUUUGAUAAAGAUAUGUAAUAAACAAUUAGAAUAUAGUGGUGCCAAAGAAAAUAAAUAUUUUUAUAUCAUAUAUAGUGUGUAGGGGCACAAGUAUUUUUGUGAUCGGCCCAAAUCAACACGACACGACAUGCCCAGUGUCGUGUUAUGCCAUACCAGCAAGUUCUCGACGCGACCCUAAGUCACGAUGCUAAUAUCAAGUUAAUCAUGACAUAUGCAACUUUUUUUUCCUUGUUAACAUGCACUAUGAAUAUCAGAAGCAAUCAAAAGGAGAGAGAUCGAAAAGAGAAGAAAAAACUCGCACUUUGGGGCUUUUCUUGGAGGAGAGGAGAAUGUUGGAGGACUUGAUGUCUCGGUGGAUCACGCACUUUUCGGUGCCGUAGUGCAGGUACUCCACAGCCCGCGCCGCCCCCACCGCCACCUUGUACCUCGCCGUCCAAGGCAACACUUUCCCUACAUACUACUAAUUAGCACUAAUUUGACGAAAAAAUUAACUAAGCAUUCGCAAUUCUAAGUGAUAAAGAACGUGGUUACAAAAGGAGAGGACUAGUACGAGAGUGGUGGAGAUGGCGAUCGAGGCUACCGCCGGAAACGAACUUGUAAACAAGAAAGAGGCCGGCCUUAUCGAUGCAGAAGCCGAUCAGGGGGACGAUAUUGGGGUUGCAGAGGGAGCUCGCGAUCAUCAGCUCCCGGCAGAAAGCCUUGGUGCUCUCCCUGCCCUCCCCCUCCACCCUCUUUAUCGCCACCGCCCUCCUCCGCACUCCGACCCUCCCCCUGUACACUCUGCUCAGUGGGCCCCUGCCCAGCUCCCUCCCUAACAAAUAAUAUCACAGUUUCCACUUGAUUCAAUAAUUACAUAUUAACAGUUUCCGUAGUUGGAGUAAUCGAAAUCAAGAAUUUGGACCUGCAGAGAGGCCAUGAGUGGCGGAAUGUAUCUCGGCGUAGCUGAACCGCACCGCCCGCGAGGCGAUCGGAGAGAUGCUCCUCUCGAGAAAAUCCAAUCUCUGCCACUGCAGAGCCUCCGGCGCAGACGGAGGCGGGGCAGCGGCCCCCUGCCUGUCAUCAUCAUCCUCCAGACUGACGAGCAGCAGCACCGCCGAGGCGACACCGGCGGCGGCGGCGGCGCCGCCCGCAGCCUCCACAGCCGCGGGGGGCGGGGGCGAGCCGCGGAAGCUGAGGCGGAAGGAGGAGUGCACGGAAUGCAGCUCGGCGGCCCCGUCCCCCGCCGCGGCGUCGGCGAGCAGCCACGACCUGUUCUCGGCGUCGCAGCGUCCGCGGCCGUCGUCACUCCCGCCCGUCUGGCGCCUCCCUCUCCGCCGCAACGCGGCAAGACUGGACACCAUUUUCUUGCAAGGAAUUAUCCCGUCAGAGCUGCCGCCCCUUCGCCGGUUCCGGCCGUCUCUGCGGGCAAUGUAGCAGCCGCCGCCACCGCCGCCGCCGCUGCUGCUGUAGGAGGAGCCCAUGAGGCUCCCAGCUCAAGCCCAAAGAGAGAGAGAGAGAGAGAGAGAGCGAAGAAGCAGGAUGCGAGCAUAAAUAUAAAUAAAUAAAUAAAUAUAUAAUAAAGCGUUAAAGGGCGAUUAAUGAGCUCGACAAUGUAGGGGCACUUUAAUUUUAUUGUGUUAGCUUUGCUUGUGGGUGGGGUGUGUUGUUUUGCCUUUGGCCGCUUUUGCUUUUCAGGGUUAAAAGGCGUGUUGGAGUGAAAAUUCUGAUUUACCAACAAGAGAGAAAUGGAGAAGUGUGGCAGGUGGAUAAUAGCGGACUAAUUCGGUUAGUUGGCCUGAUCGGGACAGUUGAUUAUACUAUAAAACUAUCGUCGGUGUACUAAGUUGAAAGAUGCUGUAUGUACGCUAAAAUAGAGUCGACAUAAUAUUCAAGUUUUACCAACUUUUUAUUAGAGUUUUAGUUUAAAAAAAUCUAUAAAAUUAUUGAAAGUAUAUUGAAGUUUAAAUGGAUGAAAUAUAAGGUUUACGCUCUAUUUAUAGGUGUACUAGUUAUACUGCUCUAUUUAGUUUUAAAAAUUAGUAUUUGUACAUUCAAAAAUAAGUUAUAAACCUUUGUAAUACUUUUUUUUUUUUAGAGAGAGAGAUAGAUAGCAUGCUACCUACUAUAUUUAUUUCUUUUGAGUAGUUUCAAUCUGUGUGUUAGGUUUUAGAAUCUAGUUAUUAUGUCUCCGUACAUGGAUAUGUGAUCUGGAUGAGCUUCGAAUUUUAUAGAACCUCAGUUGAGAUUCUAAAACUUCAGUGUAUUCUCAAACAUCAAAAUCAUGUUUGAAAACUCGAACAAUAGAUUGUGUGCUUGGUCUGGGAGUUGUGAAACAAAUUAUGUUUUAAUAAGAAAUCCAUCUGCAAUUAUUCUCCAUCUAUAAAUACCUUUUUUGGGAAACUCCAGCCUCUUUCUUUCUCGGACAAAAAUUUGGUGGAUAUAAUCCCCAAACAUAAUAUUUUGGGGAUUGUUGGAUCCGCGCCAUAUGGCAAGCCGCGCUGAUCUCAACCAGCCAAUAAAAAUAAAUUUUUGAAUAUUUUAAUCCAAUAAAAAUAAUAUUUUCUUUUAGUGGUUGAGAUGGGUACAGCUUGCCAUAUGGCGCCCAUCCGGACAAUCCCCAAACUAUUAUGCUAGGGACUAUGUCCACCAAUUUUUGGUUCUUCUUUUCCCUCUCUCUCUUUCUAGUCCUCUCUCAUUCUCUCUCAAGCUUUCCUACCUCAGAACCGAAUGGAUGGAGCUUCCUUUAGGAGGAGGUCUUGGCCUUUUAAGUGGCCUUGUGGGGAGAUUUCCAAGAACUAGGUGAAUUGUAGUUGAUUCUUAGAUUAGUUAUAUGAAUUUUAGGUGUUGCUUGAAGGGUUCUUAUUUUGGCAUUAAAGUUUUUAGGUUUUUAAGCUUUUUAUGACUUGUGUUGGUGUUUUUGUCCUAAUUUUGGACAUGUGUCGGAAACCUUAAGUUUUUUGGAGUCAUUUUGUGUCAAUCCCCAAGCUAGAUGAGAAUUUGAGCAUAUUUCGUGGCAUCAUUCCUUGAUGUGUGGAGGAAAUAUUGAUUUCGGUAUAAAAUGCUAGUUUUGCAAAAUUUAUCAUGGCUUUUUCAUUAUUUCUUACUCCUUAUGCCUCACCUUAGUGCAUUUUUAGUACCUUAAGAAGUUUAAAGUUGAUUCUAAUUGAAUUGAAGUUGCAACUUUGCGAAAUUCGCGAAGUUUCUACCACUGAAUGUACAAUCUAGGGGCCUAGUUUUGGAACUAUCUAAUAAAAUAGUGCGGUAUAGUUCUAUUUCUAUGGAGCUAUCAAUAUGUUACGGAACCUCAAUCCCAAGUUCCGGAACCUCAGCCACCAAAAAUUCGAAACUUGAAUUUAUUUGAACCUCAGCCACCAAAAAUUCGAAACUUUAGUUUUAUUUGAUUCUUUCUUCAUGAAUAGCACCAAGUGUAAUGCGUGACCUGAUUGCACUCUUCUUAGUUCCAUACAAGGAUCGAGAAGCUGUGAACGUGUUGUGAUUGCCAUCUUAGCAACUUGAGGUAGGUAUACUCUCCGAACUUGAUUUAGCAUCAUCACCACAAUGUGCCUAAACUUGUUUAACCCCUUUGUGGUUGACAUGAACUAUUUAUAGCCUAUUGUAGUUGUACCUCAAGUCGAUCUUAGCACUUAUAUAUUGAUAGCAUGCUUAUUUACUAUUAUAUCGCUUGCUUAUAUCUUAUUCUUGUCAUUAUAUGGAUGUGAAUAGUAAAGAAGCAUGCUAGUUAGAUAAAUGAUAAAAAGGGGCAUUGUGAACCAAGUACUAGUAUUAGGAUUCGGAUUAGACUUGGACUAUUGCUCGAGUUAGUGCAGAUUUAUGUCCUGGCUGCAUUGGAUUACGACUAUCACCUUAAUUACAAGCAUGAUGAUUCACCAAGAAAAUCUAUGGUCCUCUUCGCCGUCUCGAUGGUUUGGCCACCCCGAAGUAGGGUGAGCUCCUCCGAAAGAGAGGUCGUAAUUCAACGAAUUAGUCCGGCCGGGUCUCUUACUAGGUAAGGGAAUUAAGUAUUAGUUGCAUGAGUUUCUUCCUAGACAGAGUAUUGGCAUAAUCUAGGUUUGUUUCUAGAUAGAUCAUUGAGCGUGAGUCAGGAUAGAUGAUUGGGCCAGUUGUUGACACCUUGGUAUAUUCUAUGUAUGCAUAGAACAUUGUAUGUUGUUCACUGACUAUCAUUGUAGAUACCGCUUAUCCAGCUAUAUGACAUUGAUUGUUGCUUAUUAGUCAUCUCUUGACCUUAUAAUGUUAUUACUCCCUUAUUGACUGGUUAGAGUUAGUUUGCUCUUGUCGGCUUGUUGUAUCCACUAAAAACUUUAUCAUUUCUCGAUCCCUGGUGAAUUUAUUUUUUAAGAGCAUUAGGAUGGGUGGAACAUAUUAUAGAGGACCCGUGCUAGAUAGGUUCACCUAGAUAGAUGCACUCUCUACACUUUUGAGGCUAUUAGCAUGGUAUUAUAUAGGAGAUGGAAAAUUUGUGGCCAAAACUAAAGAUAGUUGUAAUCUGUGGUUUUCGGAUGCUAUAACAUGUUUUGCAUACUUUAAAUGUUAUUUAAAAAUUAGAAAUUCUGAUUUUCUUAGCUUUGCUACAUUAUAUUCAAAACUACUUUGUAUUCCAAUGUCAUGUACAUAAGGAAGAAACUAUAUCCAUGUGGCGGAUUUAUGCACACGUCCAGUUGAGUUUCCAUGCUGGGGCGUGACAUUCUUACAUCCAUCCAUGAGUUUAGCCUUUUUUUUUUGGAUUUUUAAUAUUUUCUAAAAAAUAUUUGUAAGACUAGUGUGAAGACAUAGUCUCUUGGAUCGAUAGAGUGUAAAAUAGACACUCAAUUUUUUGGAGUGCACAUAGCAUAUAUUAACUCUACUUCUGUCCUUUAUGCCUCUCUCGACCCCAACUCCGACUCUGCUGGCUCCACCUGCUCUCUUUGCUCCUCUUGCACUCCCGCUGCCCCUUCAUUUGAUGACGGUGGGAAGAGGUUGGGGUGGGCGUGAAUAGAGGGUGGGCGAGGAUGACACGGCGGAGGAGGUGAGCGCAUAGGCAUGGGCGCGGACAAAAGAAUGUGCGAAGGCGAGGUAGCGGAGGAGGGCGAGGGCGAGGGCGAGGGCGAGGCGGCGGAGGAGAGCGAGGCGGCACGGCCAACAACGUCGUUGGUAAAGAGGAGGCGAUGCUGUUGAGAGAGGGUAGAAGGGUAUUUUCGGUAUAAAAAAAUAUAAUAAUAGGUUAUAGACGAACCUCGAACGGAACACUAACGUCAGGGUCCGAAGUGAGCAUUUUUUUAUUUUUUUAAAAGGGCAAAGUGUAGCUUUUUAAAUGAUAAUGAAAAAGUGAAAAAGCAUAUCUUGAUAGGGGUUUUUGUAAUUUAGCCUUAUUACAUAUUAAUUUACUUGCAGAUUCUUUUCAGAUUGGAUUACAAGAAUCUCUCUCUCAAGAGCUUUCCGCUUUUUCUCUCAACUGGGGUAUCUAUGAUGAAGCUCUCUUUUUCUGAAACCUCCGACAAUGAGGCUCUAGACUCUAAAAUAUAAAUUACAAUAAUUUAUAACCCUAAAACCCCAAUUUUAGUAGGAAACAUUUUUCGCCGUCCAUCUGAAUUCCUAUUCACUUAUAGUCGUUUAUCUCCUCUUAAAGACUCUCUUCAAAAUAUUUUUAGAUCAUCCCUAAUCUCAAGAUAUAAGAUUAAAUCAAAUUGAAAUCAAAUCUAACUUAUCCAGUCUGUUACAAAGUUGAGUACGGUACUCAACUUGGAGUACAGUUACUAAAACACCUCUAUAAUUUCAGGACAAGUACUCAAAGUUGUGUAUCGGUACCCAAUACAAAAAAUAGGAAAUUGAGAAACUUUUGAAAAACUUCUGAAAUACUUCUUAAUACUUCUUAAUACCGGUACUCAAACUUCAAAUUCUAAUACUUAACAUCCAAAAACCUUAAAUAUUUUAUUAGUCCACCAUGAUAUCGAGUCGGAAUGUAGCUUCACAUAAUUCAACAGUUUUGUGGGCUUUUAGUAUUAGAAAUAGAAAAAACUUCAAUUUGCCCUUUUUUUUUAUCUAAAAUACCCUUCUAAAUUUCAAAUCUUAUUAGUAAAUCCUAAGUUUGAGGGCAAACCUGAGAAUCUCUACCUGUACCUGCGAGUACCCGCAAGUUAUCCGUAAAAUUGCGGGUAUGGGUACUAAUUUUUUCUAUCCAAAAAAUUAUAGAUAAAAUGAAUGGUACCAGUCAAGUGGUGGGCAUUUUAGACAAUCCGCAGAUACCCACGGGUAUCCCAUAUAUUUUUUAAUUAAAAAAAUAUUUUUUAUUUACCUAUUUUUAAGAAACUCUAACCUAAUUUAAUAUCGUGUCUUUUUUUUUCGUUGCAGCCAUCUCUCGCACUAUGUCGUCUCUCCAACCGCACCACUCUACCAUCCUCAAGCGGGCCGACCUAAAUCGGAACAUGAAGUGUUCAUUUACGGUUUUCGCCUAUGACUUCUCCAGCCUUUUUUUUUUUUGUUUAUCUGCGAUAGUUGUGGAUUGAGUUUUAGUGGUUUAUCUUUAUGAUAUUUACUCUAUAUAUAAUCAACAAAGUUUUAUUAAUUUUGUAUUAUAAAAAUUUGGUAUGAUAAAAUAUUUUAUAUUAUAUAAUUUAUGGGCUUUAAGAUUUUAUAUUGUUUAUUAUCUGUUAUGAUAUUUCAAACAACAAGUUAAAUUAUACUUUUAAAAAUUGUAUAUAUGUGUUUUGCAUUGGAAAAUAUAGGAGCAAACAAGAAAGAAAAGAAAAUCUUGCGGGUAACUAGCAUACCUAUCUGUUCGCUCGCCGGUGGGUAUAGGUAAAGAUGUUGGCUAUCCAAAAAUUUGUAGAUAAAUUUUAUUCAUAGCCAUAUGAUCUGCAGGUGUAAUGAUCUGCCCACAAUUUACUCAUCUCGCCCGUUUGUCAGGUCUAAUUAAAUACAUAUCUUUUAAAAAUUUGUAAAUCAAUAAGACAUUAUGGUCAAUCAGAAAUAUAUUUGAUAUUUUUGAAGUUUUGAAGGCUACAGUAGAUAUUAUUCUAAAAAUUUAAAAAUAAAUUUAUUCAAAAUAAAAUAAUAGAAUCUUAAAAAUAUUAAAAUUAAAAUUUGAAAAUAAAUUUGAUCUUAAGUUCAGAAAGUAAAAAUUAAUAAAAAAUUAUUUUAAUUAUUUAUUAAUCAUCCAAGCAAUUUUUGUCCCGGAAUUAAAAAGAAAAUUAUGAGCGGCGGAGUGAUCAACAAUGUUGUCUUAUUAGUAACCCCAAUUUAUCUCAAUGUAUCAUAGAGGAUUAUAAUUUGUUUUAAAAUUUAAAUUUUUUAUUCUAAAUUUAAUAUUAAAAAGGGGCAAUUGCUUAUAUAUUCUUAAAAAGUUCUCGACUUUCUAAUUUAUUGCUCUUAGAAUACUAAUAUUAAAAAUAUCCUUUAUGUUCCAAUCUAUUUCAAAUAUACCCUUAUUAGAGUUAAAUUCUAUUAAUGAACUAUUAGCAAUAGCUAUUAUUUGUAUAAAAUUAUUAUUUUGCCCUUUCAAAUAUACCCUUCCACUAUCACCGAAUUUUCUUAUUUAUCUUUAAAAGGCUUAAGUUUGGUAUUGAGACCUAUCAAACACUAUUAAAUAAAAUAGAGUUGAUGAAAAAACAUAUAGGGAUGUACUUUUGCGUUCUCCGGUGGGAUCGCAGAAAAUAAAUAUAUCAUAAUCGACUCAUCGCGAUAUGCAGAACACAAUAUUACAUACAAACCGUACUUAAUGUAAUCUCCCCGUAAUCCCAAACCGUACGUAACGCAAUCUUCCCAUAAUCCCAAACGAAGUUUAAGUUAGGGACACAAAAAUUAUUUUGAUUUUUACUCUUUUUAAAUAUAUUAUUUUAUCAUCACCAAAAUUUUUUUAAUUAAUAUAGAUAUUUAAUUCAUAUUUAAGUCAAAUUAAUUUAACGGGUGAUAACUGUAUAGAUAUUUUGGAACGGCGAGAAAUAUACAAGAGUUAAAAGAAAAGAAAAAAAAAUAUAUACGGGAUAUUUUCAAAGUUUCGAAGGUAUAUAGGCAAUUAUUGCUAUUAAAAAAUAGGUAUUUGUUAAGGGCACAAUUAAAACAUUGUGGAGGUCCGCGCUUGAGUUUUCUUCCCGAUUUAGGGCUUCAGAAUCUCGGUCGCCUCUCUCUCUCUCUUUCUCUCACGCCUACUCCUCGUCUCGAGCUUCUUCAUCGCUGGCUGCGCCUGUUUCUGGAUCUCUCAGAUAAGAAGCUGCAGUCCAGACAAGCAUCGGAAGGAAGAGAAGUUGCGGGGGAAUGGAGAAAGGCCGCGCCGUCGGGAGCCCGGCGGGCGAUAGAGAAUGCCCGGCAGCGGCCGAAAAGAAUCCGAAGAAGCAGAAGCCCCCCUUCAGGCCCGCGCCGGACGACACCAAACCACUCUUCCGCGACCCCGUUCGUCUAUUCCUGUCUCGCUAUUCCUACCUACCCUUUUCCUUUUCUUUCUCUUCCUUAAUCUAAUUAUGGCUCCCUUUUUCUUUUUUCUUUCUUUAUUCUUUAGAUAUUGAGGUCGGACCCAAUCGAGACCGAGCAAGCAGUGCUCGCGCUUACCUCGCUCCCCAAGAACGCAGCGAUAUCUGAUGAAAACCGCAAAUGGUAGGUUCUUUUUUUUUUUCUUUUUUUUUUUUUUUUUGCUUUUCAGCUGUAUCUUAUUAGUUUUCUUUCUUGUGCUGCGAUGGAUCUUGGAAGCUAUUUAACGCAUAAAAAAUUAUGAGGCAACCCUCAUGGAUCUCGCUUGUCUCAUUUUAGUGAUAUAUUGCUUUAAAAUAUAUUUUUUAGUAUCCUGAUGAAUUUUUAUUUUUAUUAUUUUUUUUUGUGGCGAACUACAUUUACUCUCGUUAAAUCAAUAUAUAUAUUUAUUAUAAUUAUAUAAUAUAUAUAUAUAAUAUAUAUUAUAUAUAUAUAUAUAACACUUUAAUAUCCUAUUUAAUUUAUCGGAUAUUUAUUUUAGUAUUUUAUGGUUUAUCGAAUUUUUGACUUUACUAAUUUUGUUACUGAUAUAAAAAAAUUAACGAGGAGGGAUAAAUUAACUGAGGGAUAACGGAAGAUAAAAAAAAUCCGGGUACUCUGCUUGCGUUCUCAUCUGAACUAGCCUCCCGUUUGUCCCCUCCGCUUGUACCCCCCUACCAAACAGGCGAACCGAUGUUUAAAUCAAAAAAAAAAAAAAAAAAGAAAAACAGAAAAUCUUGAGUAGGGAUAGUAAAUAUGAUAAUAUUUUAAAUCACAUGUUACUGGCGCAAAAUUACAGCAGUGAUAUUUGAAGUUUUUUCAAAAUUAUAAGUAUUUUAAGUCCCUGUGCUUUUAAAAACAUGGUUAUCAUUGUUUGUUCGAAGGCAAGUUAAUAGUUUAGAAACUGAGGCUUUUCACUUUACAUCAUAAUUGACUUAGUCCUGAAUGGCAGCCGUAUUUUGAGAAAGUUAAGUUAAGAAAUUUGAGUUAGUGGUGAAUCAAACAAUGAAAAAUGGGCAUAUGCAGCCAUAAUUUACUGCAACUUUUGCCUUCUUUUGUGUUUCUACUUAUGAGGUGUUUAUUUGGUAAGAAAACUUUGUUAUCCAUCUUUAUGGCUGGACUUGGUUUAUUUUAAUUUUAGAGUUUGUUCGUCCUUCAUUUAUUUGUUUGAGAAAUGCUAAUUCUUGAACCCAGAAAGGGUCAUACAAGGAUUAUUAUAAUCCUACUCCCAUGGAUUUAAAAGAUUUUCUUUUUCUAUUUUGAAUUUUAGUGAUAAAAACAAAAGAGAUCAUAAAGGCUAGUAGAGAAAAAAAGAAUCAUUAGUAGAUGAUAGAGUUGCGAGUAUUGCUCUAUAUUCUUUUUGUUUUUUUUCAUCUAUGUUGGUUCCAAUAAUGGUAUCGUAUUAAGCGGAUUAAUGAUGUUUUGAAUCUGACAAUGUUGUUCGGAACACCGUCAGCAAGAUCUCCAGGUUCUACAACACCGAGGAGUUAAACAUUUUUCGGCUCUUUUGCAGUAUUAUGGUUCAAUUAGUCUUGGUAUAGAAUGAAACACUAAAUAAUUCUAUCUUGGAUUAAGGCAAAAUUAACUACGGGAAAAAGGAAGUUAAAAAAAUUAGUGAAAAACUCACUUACAAUGAAGUUGCACUACAGUAUCAAACCUGGCCUUGCAGUGUAGUUGCACUACUACAACUACACAGCAAAUCAAACACAAAUUGUAGGCUUACUUGGAGUUGCAGUUGUAAUGCAACUCGCAAAGCAAGCAAUCAAAGAGGCCUAUCCACUUUAGGGCCCUGCCAAGAUCAAAGUAAUCUAACUGUAGGAUCAGACUUGCAGGUGAUAUUUGUACUCUGCUGCAGGAAAAUUGUAUGUGAGGUUUGGCUGGAUCGAAAUCAUGCCAAGAUCGAUAUACAUAAACCCAGCCAAAAAUUCUAUGGGGAUGUAUUUUCAAUGUGUGCAGUAGUUGCGUAAAACAUAGAAGCAGUUACUUGUUUGCUUAGAUAACCAUGUCAAAUGUACCUUUUUGGACGUAUUGUAGGGCGUAGUACAAUAGAAUCUCAACAUCUCAUUUUAACUUUCUGCUGCAUUAGAAUUUAAGGCUUUUCUGAAAAAUAGAAUCAGAAGUGAAACUACAAAGGCUCUAUGUAAUGUUAACUUUCUUCUGCAGCAUUAGAAGUUUAAAACUUAUCGAAAAACAGAAAUCAGGAAUGAAGCUACAAAGGAUCUAUGUAAUUUUUCCUGAUGUCAAAUUGCAAACAUGCUUAUUGAUCACCUUUACUUUCUUUGAAAUUGGGAAGUAUGAAAUGUAUAGUAAUUUUUGUCUUUAUAAUGGUGUGAUACAUGUAGAAGGCUUAGAAGAGCUGUGUUGGAACCCAGGAAUGUGCAGAGGCCAUGAUUUCUUAUUUCCAUCCAUCUGCAUGCAAUCAGAAGAUUUUUGAACACUAUUUUGACUUUCACAGCUUUGAAAGUAUACUGUUGUUGACAUUGCAUAUUUUUCAGACAAUGUUACAUAAUAUUUUGGAUAUGUACUAUGGAAAAAAUUUGAUGGAAAUUAUAUGUUUAAAGACCAAGCUUUUCUUCCUCCCACAUUUGAACAUUAAUAAAUGCAUCAAAUUUUUGGAUAACACUGAAGUUUUGACACAAAAGUCUUUUAAUUUUUCUUACUAUUUUUUGUUUUUUGUUUUUUUUAUUCUGAAGUUUCAAAUAGGAUACUUAUCCCAAGAACCUUCUCUGGAGCUAGUACUAGGUAUAACCUUAGUUAAUUCGCGAUUAAAACGCGAAUGAUACGCGAAUUUUAAAAAUUACUUAUUAAACACCCCGUUCCGUAUUUUUUCGAAAAGUUCGGAAAAAAAGGCCAAAUCUUUCUCAAAAAAACUUGUUUGCGAAUUAUUUGCAAUUCGCGAAUGAUUCGACUAAAAAAAGGGCACUCGCGGUCGAAGCUCGCUGCUCGUGUCGUCGCCGUGCUCGUCGUCGCGGAUUCGCGGCCGAGGGUCGCGUCGUCGUCGCUCUUGUCGCCGAACUCGUCCGGGUUGUCCUCCUCAUUCGCUGCCCUUGCCGGCAUCGGGAGCAAGAGCCGCCGCGACGACAGAUGCCCUCUCGCGCCGUCCGUGGAAAAAAAAAGAAGAGAAACAGUAAAAAAAAUCGGGGCUUUUGAGCAUACUUGUGCGCGGUCCACGAGGCCACUUUGUGGCCUCGUGGACCGCAUGAGAGGGAUGUCCACGGUGGACCUUCCUCUCAUUAAUAUAUUAUAUAAUUAUAGUAGUAUAUAUAUAUAGAAUUAGGCGGAAUACUAUUAAUAAUAAAACGUUCUUUUGCUAUCAAGAGUUUUUAACCCUUGGAUGAAAAAAUUGUAGGGUUAGGAUGAUAUUAGUUGGUUAGAGUUGAGUGGUCCUCCUAGGGUUGAGUGGUCUCACAUGGGUUAUAGUAUUUAAUCCAAUGGUUAGAAAUAAUAAAAAGAGUUGAUCCAAAGGCUAAAAAACUAGUAGCAACAAUAAGAUUUUGCUACUAAUAGUAGCCCAAUCAACUCUAUAUAUAUUAUAUAUAUAUAAUAUUAUAUAUAUAUAUAUAUAAUAUAUUAUAUAUAUAUAUAUAAAUUUUAUUUAUAAAUAUAUAUCAUUUAUUUUAUUAUAUAAGUUUUUUAUUAUAAAAUUUAUAAUUAUUUAUUAAUAUUCUAAAUACAUAAUCUUAUAUAUUAUAAUAUAUAUUAUAUUAUAUUAAUUUGAAUAUAUUUAAUUUAUAUAAAAAAGCAUAAAAAGUAUAUAUGUAUAUAUUAAUUAUUAUAUAUUUAUUAUAUAGCCGAAUUUUGAUUCCGAAUUUUUAAUUGUAAACGUAUAAUAUCCGUAUAAAUUACGUAUCCGAAUAAUUACCACAUCCUUUUUAGCCGUAUUUUCAAAAGAAUUUAAAAGUUAAAAAGAGAAUUUUAUCCGAAUUAUAUCCGUACCGAAUUUUGCCGAUCCGAAUUAACUAACUAGGUAUAACCAGGAAGCUGACCUCUAUUGAAAGCCCUUUCUUUGAAAAUUAACUUCCCAACUACUCUAGAAAGUGAGUGGCUGCUAGAUGAUGCAGAAGUCCACUAUGUGUAGGAAUGUGGAAUUACAGAAAUGGAUAGACUCAACAGCAGUGCAGCCUAGAAUAUAUGAAAUCUUGAUGAGAACAAACUCUUUAAUCUUGACAUUAAUAUAUAAUCUUGAUACUAAUACUGAUAACUUUUCGGUAAAUAAAAAGGAGUGAGGCUACUAUGCUAUUCGAGAGUACGAGCCUUUCGUGCUUUCAGACGUUUUCGAUGUUGCGACUUCAAUCGUCGAUCGGCUUCGUAUACUUGAUCUAGAGUAUUGUUAGUACUUAGAAAUAAUUUAUUAUUUUUCAAUAUCAUUUGCCUAGUGAUCGAAUGGGCUCAAAAUCAACAAAUUUCAUUGGCCGUAGUGAGCCGUUUGCAAGUUUAACGAUGUAUAAAUAUCCAAAUCACGUGAAAUUUUGAUAGAAAAUUCUUUAUACUAUAUAAAACAAGAUCAAUAUUUUUGAUUUAAAAUUUUAAUGUCAUAUUAUUACAUUUUGUAAGAUUUUUAUUUUCAGCCGUUGAUUUUGAGCCCCUUCGUUCACUAGGCAAAUGAUAUCGUAAAAUCAUAAAAUUUAUUUUUCUAGGUACUUCAAAUACUCUAGAUCAAGUUUAACGGAGCCGAUCCACGAUUCGAAAAUCGCAACAUCGAAAACGAGCUGGAAGCACGGAAGGCUCCGUGCUUUCGAUAGCAUAGUAGCCUCACUUAUAAAAAGGAUAUGCUCAAUAAAAAUGUUUGCGUAGAAAAACAUGCUCUUUUUAAUGAUUAGAAACAAUACUUUUCAGUAUCUUACUUUUUAUGGCAAUUAUUUGUCACGUAAUGCUUGUCACGUAUAAAUUGUCCUCACCAAGUACAAAAAAGAUGUUGAUUGUUCCAUGUUUAGAUCAUGACACUAUGACCUCUUCUAGCUCCUUCGAUCCAAUGGGCUCUCCGUUUCCUUAAGUGGAUUCACAACAAAAUAUAUAUAAUUAAGAAGGUCCAUUCCCCACACUUAUUAAUGUUCUUGUGUAUUGAAUACACAAGUGGACAACCAUACCAUAGUUGUUCUUGCUAGGAGAGGAAUAAAUAAAGCACAGUGGGAGACAAAUUUACCUUCAUUUUUAUUAAGUGCGAGUGAAUGAUAGGGCGAUGAUUGACACUUGUUUCUUAUUUCGAACCAGUUUAUUUAGAAAAUUACUAUUUAUACAUUUACAAGUGAGAUACGUAUCUCUCACUCACUCUAUCUAAGUUUUUUUGUUUCUUGUUGGGUUUUAGUAUUGAAAAAUAGGAGUGUGAUAAGAUUUAACCGACGUUUGUUUUAAGUUACCAAACUUCUUUUUUUUUUUUUUGAUUAAAUCACUAGUUAAUUUUUAUUUCAAUCUGACCAUUUUAUUUAAUUUUUUAUAAUAUUUUAAACAAAAUGAUAAAGCAAUAGGUGAGUUAACUAUCACAUUGAAUUCUAGAGAAGACAUUAUAGUUAAUUUUGUUGUCAUGUAUUAUUGGUAUAAUGUAUAAUUAUAUUAUUUGGUAUAUGGGCUUGAUUUGGGAUGAAAAUUUUCCUUGUAUACUUCAAUUCCUGGUAUUGCUGGAUUCUUAUUCCGGAAUUACUUUGUAUAGCUUUAGGAUCUCUUUUUUAUAUUAAGAGAGCAAUAUGAUGAAUAAUAUAUAUAAAAUAUAUUAUUUUUAAAUAAACUUCUAUCAUGUCAUAGGAGCUCUAACUAGUAAUAUUUUGGACUGGUAGUUUGGACCAACGACUUCAAAAAUUAAUGAAAGUUCAAAUAUCAGCCCAAUUAAAUUACAAGUUAAAUUUCAGUGUCUUGAUCGAAAGAAAUUAAAAUUUGAUUAUCCAAAUAUAAUUUUGUUAUAUUUAACAAUUUUAUUUAUUUAGCUGGGGUGGUCAAUAUGUAUAUAUUUUUAUCAAUAAAUGUUUUUGUUGAGAAUUAGUAUCAAUUUCAGUUGAUGGAUUACUAUUAUUAUUCAUUUGAUUGGCCCAUCUCUGGCUCGACCAAUUCCAAAUUCGCCCCGCUUUCGUAAUGGGAUAAAAUAUUUAUUAUAUGAUCUAAUCUGCCUAAAACAUUCAUCUCCCAAUUGCAUCUCAAAUCCUCCAAGUCGAUAAUUAUUUUAUUCUUUUUUAAAUUAAAUUCAAUAUAAUUGAGUCCUUAUUAUUAUAAUUAAAAUGGAACUAAAAAAAAAUAAAUGCACUUGCAUAAUAUUCCAUGAAUAGGUAAAUAUUAUAAUAUUAUUUAGAUACUUAUUUGGAACAGAUAAAGGGUGGACUCGGGAUGGGUCAAAUUUUCUACCGUCUCAAUCAAGUAAUGUAAAAUAGAUUUUUUCAAAUAUUCAACCGUGCGAUGAACGGCUAAUGUAAUAAUAUAAAGUAACAAAAGUUAUUAUGUGAUGAUAAAAAGAAAACAUUUUAACUAAUAUUAUAAUUAUUUUAACAAAUAAAUAAAUAUACUAUCAAUCUUAAUUAUAAUACAUACUGAAGUAUAAAAGCUAGAGAAAUAAAAUUAUGGACCACAUCAUUAAGUAUUAAGAAUAAGAGUUGCUAUCCUACUUAAAAAAUAUAUACACAUACUCGAUAUUACUAUAAGUUUUAUACUUUUAGAUAUAAUAUGAUAAUACGGUAUAUAUCAUAGGUAUAUAUAUACUAUAGGUAGGUAUAUAUAUAAAUUAAAAGGACCAUUGUACUACAAAUGCUACUUCUAAAAUAAAUCAUUUUAUAUCAUAUAUGUGCCUACUUGUUUUUUAUUUUUAUUUAAUCAGAAAUAUAAUUUUUAAAUUUAUAUUUAUAUUAGCAACAAAAUUUCAAGAACGUAAAAUAUCUUUAUUUAAGAUGUAUAUAUGAGUGUCAUAUUAUAAAGUUAUCAGAUUGAUAAAUACAAUAUACUUUUGCUUUGGAUAAAACUGUCAAUCUAGUUAUUACUUUAUAAUAAUAAGCAGUUAAAUGAACAAAAACAUAAAAACAUUCAAAAGACAUAUUUAUAAUUAUGAGCACCUACUUGUCAACCUUAAGUAGAAUCAUUAUUUUUUUUGUUUCUUUACCGUCCUUUCAGCUUUUUUCCAUUCUACUAAUUUCAAAAAGCUUCUCAAUGACAUCUGAUAAAUUAGAAAAAUAAAAUAUAAGAAUCAAUAUAAUAGAUACACAUAUUAAAAAUUAAAUUUUAAAAAUUAAUUAUUUGAUACAUAUAACAACUCUUACCUACUAAAUAUUUAUCAUCAGCGACUUUAGCAAAUAUUUCAUCAAAAGGAGUAAAUAUAAAUCCAUAUUUUGAUAUUGUCAAAACAUCUUCCACCUCACGUACAACUGUAGAAUAUUAAAAAUUAAUUUUAUAAGGAUGUUUAGUGGUCCUGUAGGAGCCACUGCUUUGCCCCACUCCAAAUUGGUUGAUCACAUAAACUUUUCCUUCCGUUAAAAAGCCUUUAAGUUUGUUCAAGAAAGCUCUUCUUACCGUUGUAUGCAUCGCAUCUCCCUAAAAUAGAAAAUAAACCAAUUAUAUAGUAUCUUUUACUAAAAACAAAACAAAUAAUAUUUCAGCAAAUAAAAGUUGUAUGGUCCUAAAAGUUAUAAGCACUCUCAAGUCAUCAUCUCCCAUUUGAUGUGCAUCAUAUAACACAAAAUAUAAAUAUGCCUUCAAUAUAAAUAUUGGUUUUCACCAAAUAUCACAACACAACAAGUUUACAUGCAUGCAGGGACUCAUGUUACAUGUAAAUUUUUCCCAAAAUAUUUGGAUCAUAUAUUUUGUUAGUGAAAAACUAAAUAAAAAUGAAAAACUAAGUAGCGAUAGUAGGAACUCAUGUUACAUGAAAACACAUGUUCAAUUUGAAAAUGACAGUUGUUCCUUACAUUUUGAUAAAAAAGAACCAACUCUAAGCUAUUCAUUACCUCUGGACGAUGAAAUUCAGGCACAAUAUACAAACAAAUCACUCUAACUUUGAUCUUCCAUUUGUUUCCAAGAGGUGUGAUGUCACUUAUAGAAUUAAACCCAGGUGCCAUAUUCUGAGAACAAUAAGACAUCCAGAAAAAAAAGUUAGUACUUAUUUCGUAUUUAAGUAAUAAAAUAAAAACAAUAUGUUCUAUUUUAAAGCAUCAAUAUCUAAGAAUUAAGAAAAACUACUCAAUAGAUACUUAACUAAAAUGUGCUGAAUAUUGUUAAAAUAUGGGACCUUUAGUAUAUAUAUAUACACACACACACAUAUUAAUCUGUGAAUAUUAGACUUUAACAUUAAAAUAAUUAGUCAAAAUAGUUUUAUUUCUCCAAACCUAACUGGAUCUGAAUAUAGAAAAUGUUUGAAAAAUGGUAACCUUUAGUAUACAAUAAAUUGAACAAAAUAAAAUGACAUGAAUGGUAACCUUUGAAAAAUGGGCAAAACAUUUAAUAGUAUUUUCUAAUAAAAUUCGGUGACUUCCACAUAUCAUUUCAUUUAUAGAAAUAAUUAGCUUUACUUGAAAAGUGAAUAAAAUUUGCAACCAUAAAACAACAGAUAUAAUUAUUGCAACAAAUCAGUUUCUAAGGCUCUAUUUAUGAUAGCAAAUUAAAAAUAUGAUAGUAUAUGAAUAUAAAGAGUUUGAUGUUAUAUUGAAAAUGAUAAGACUUUUAAAUAUUGAUAAUUUACCUUACAUAGCACCAAUUCUAUUUUUCCAAAUCUAACUGGAUCUGAAUAUAUAGAAUGUUUAAAUUGAAUAGAAUAAAAUGACAUGAAUGGUAACCUUUGAAAAAUGGGCAAAACAUUUAAUAGUGUUUCCUAAUAAAAUUAUGUGGUUCUCACGUAUCAUUUCAUUUCAUUUAUAGUAAUAACUAGCUUUUCACCCGUGCGAUGCACGGCUAAUAUAAUAAUAUAAAAUAAUAAAAGUUAUUACGUGAUGAUAAAAAAAAUAUUCUAAUUAAUAUUAUAUUUUUCUAACAAAUAAAAAAAUAUAUUAUCAAUCUUAAUUAUAGUACAUAUUAAAGUACAUAAGCUAGAGAAAAAAAAUUUUGGACCAAAAUAAAUACUCAAGUAAAAUGCAAAAUUCAACCCUGCUCUAUUAUCUAUGAAUUGGUGUGCAAAAUAAUUUACAUUUACAUAUUGGUGUGCAAAACAAAAUGAUAACUAAAAUUGAUAUGAAAAAUUACAAAUGACAUUAAUAUUUAAGUAUAUAAUGAGAUUAACUAAACUUUCAUAUUUGACACAAAUUAGAGUAAGCACACGUAUAUUAUUUCCCUACUGUCACUUUCAAAAAUAUAUAGAUGUUGGUGUUCAUAAUUAUAGGUGACUUUUAAAUAAAAUUUCCUUCAUUAUAGGUGAUUUUUAAUAAUAUAGUAAAAGAUAUUAUUUCCUUACAAAAUUUAAUUUUAUUUUGGAUAAUUAUAAGUGACUUUGAAAUGAAAUUCCUUUAAUUAUAGGUGGCCAAUUCUUUCUGAACGUAAUAUCCGUGAAUAUUAUUUUCAUAAAAAAAUCUAAUUUUAUUUUUCCUAAAGUAGUAAUAUCCGCACCCGCCAAUUCUUUCGUAACGUAAUAUCCGUGAAAUUCUCAAAUAUCUCAACAUAAUUAUAGGUGACUUUGAAAUAAAAUCUCCUUCAUUUUCAUAAAAAAAAUUUAAUUUUAUUUUUCCUAAAGUAUUAUUUCUUUGAAAAGUCUAAUUUUAUUUUUUCUAAAGUAGAAAAUCUAUAUUUGAACUUGACACGUAGAUUAUUUUUCCUAGAGUAGUAAUAUCCGCACCCGCCAAUUCUUUCGCAACAUAAUAUCAGUGAAUUUAUCAAAUAUCUCAACAUAAUUAUAGGUGACUUUUAAUAAUAUAGUAAAAGAUAUUAUUUUCUGAAAAAAUUUAAUUUUAUUUUUCCUACCUAAAGUAGUAAUAUCCGCACCCGCCCAUUCUUUCUCAUUGUAAUUUUAUUUUUCCUAAAGUAGUAAUAUCCGCACCCGCCAAUUCUUUUUCAACAUAAUAUCCGUGAAUAUUAUUUCCUUAAAAAAUUCUAAUUUUAUUUUUUCUAAAGUAGUAAUAUCCGCACAACAUAAUUAUAGGUAACUUUGAAAUAUUCUCUAAAGUAGAUAGGUGGCAAGCAUAUAGAGCGCCACGUGUCAGCUUCUCACAUAGAGUUUAUUAAGGAUUCUACUUUAGUAUAUAGUAAUAGAUAGAUUAGCUCUACUUGAAAAAAUAUAAUUAUUGCAACAAAUUAGUUUCCAAGUCUCUAUUUAUGAUAGCAAAUUAAAAAUCUGAUAAUAUAGAAAUGAAAAGAGUUUGAUAUUAUAUUGAAAAUGAUGAGAUUUUUAAAUGUUGAUAAUUUAUCUUGCGUAGCACCAAUUCUAUUUUUAAUUAUCUAUUUGCUAUAUAUGAGUUUGACACAUGUCAAGCAGUUAAGAAAACGCAUGUUAAUUUUUUACCAAGGGUUCUACUUUAGUAUAUAGUAAAUAGAUAUUUCGUUUGUGUUAGGACGAGGCUAUUUCAUAGACUCAGAGUAUGACUUGAAUUAAAUAAAACAGAGAGCCAUGCAAGACUCAAACGUAAGAUUUCCUGCUUUGUUGUAAUGUUAAAUGAUAUGAUUAUGUGAAACCAACUAUUCUCCACUUCUCAUGCCUAUCAAAAAUUAAUUCUCAAGCUUAGAAGUGGAAUAAUUAAACGAACGGUAUCUUAAUAUUUUAUUAUCAAUACUUUUCUUUGUGUCUAGGCUCAAGAAUUUUGAUAGGUUGAUUGUGUGAAAUAAUUAAAUAUGAUAAAAUUAAAUCUUAGAUAGAGAUGAUAUCAGUGAGAAUGAAUAAUACACUUCUUGAAUACUAGUGUAGUGGUCUGCGCGUUAUAACAGGUAGAUACUGAGGAAGUGAGAAUUCAAAAUAUAUAAUAUCGUACAAUAUUAUAAAAAAUAGAAGGGAUCAGAGACAUAUCCUUUUUAAAUUUAUUUAGUUGAUAUAAUAGAGUAACAUGAAUUUUAUAGUGAGUAGAUACUAUUGUAAAACUAAAAUACGUAAUCUAUUAAGUAAACAGAAAAUGAAAUAUAAGAAAAAAAAUAAUAUUUUUACUUGAUGUGUAAAUUCGGUUAAUAUUCAAACCACGGGUAGCUUUUAGGUUAGAAGAAACUGCGUUGCCUUCAUCGUUUGCAUUUGAAAUUGGACUCAGAUCGUCAGCAUAUUGGAACGUAGUCACGUAAAAUCACGGUAAAUAAUUUAAAUCGAUUAAUUAAUUAACUCAUUGAAACAAUUUCCUAAUCACCUGGAGUGCAGACUAAAUGCUGAGCCAACAUCCGCUAUAGAUAGGCCUAGCAAAUGGGCGUUUUGGAUAACCCGCGAGCGGUUAUUGUACCCGCGGGUUAUUUGGGCAUGGGUAAAAUUUAUCCGCAAAUUUUUGAAUAGCCAACAUCAUUAUUCAUACCCGCUCACGGGUGGGUGGGUGGGUGGGUAUGCGGGCUACCCGCAAUUUAUUUUUUUUUUUCUCAUAUAUUUUUUAAAUUCAAAAUACAUAUAGAUAAGUUUUAAAAAUAUAACAUAACUCAUUAUUUAAAAUAUCAUAACAUACAAUAAAAAUAUUUAUAGUCUUAGAGCUUAAAAAUUUCGUAAUAUAAAAAACAUAAUAAGAAAUUAGAGUUAGAAUUUUUAAAACUUAUCUAUAAAAAUUUAUAUUUUAAAUUCAAAAUACAUAUAGAUAAGUUUUAAAAAUAUAACAUAACUCAUUAUUUAAAAUAUCAUAACAUACAAUAAAAAUAUUUAUAGUCUUAGAGCUUAAAAAUUUCGUAAUAUAAAAAACAUAAUAAGAAAUUAGAGUUAGAAUUUUUAGAAUGGAUAAAUAAAAAUAUAUUUUUUAAUUAAGAAAAUAUAUUUUGUAAUUAAAAAUUAUAUGUGCGGGUAUCCGUUGGUACCCGCGGGUUAUCCAAAAUGCCCACAGCUUAAUGAGUACCCAUCCGUUUUGCCCGUAAUUUUUUGGAUUGGAAAAGUUGGUAUCCAUACCCGCAAAUUUGCGGGUAACCCGCAAGCACCCGCGGGUAUGGGUCGAGAUUGCCGGAUCUAACUAUAGAUUUGGCACAAUCUAGUCACAACAAGAUAAAAGUGUGUUUUUACUUACAGCAUCUUACGCGUUAUAAUUCAAUAUAUCUAGUUGUACCUUUUUCUCCUUUUCUGCACUAUUCUAUAUUAUCCCCUCAUUUAGUGAUAUUCGAUCGAGUAUCUUUUUAUUUUCAAAAAAUCUUAUAUUUUUACAAGUUUCAAAUUUAAAUAAAUUAAAUUUUUAUAGAGGCCGGUGUGACGGCUAUGACUUAAAUUGAGAGAAUUUGGAAGGCAACAAUUGAAAAGUUCGGAAAUUUGCUUUGUGGAAAUUUCAUGAACCAGAAAUUGUGCUUAAUAGUCAUGUUGAUUGUCCAUUCACGUGAAAGGAUCGAGUCGUUUGACAGAAAUUUUUAAAAAAAUUUAUAGUAGGGUACUAAAGUGAAAUUUAAUUUUUUUUUAUACGGGACUAAAGUGAAAUAUAUAAAUAGUUUAGGGACCAAAACUUUCAGUUACAUGUAAUGCAUGGAGAAUAUCGCUAUGCCAGAAACAAUGCACAAUUUUACGUAUAUCAGCAUAUAUAUUGUUUAUUCUGCUAGAUGCAUGAAUGUCUUAUUUAGCGUGCAUGUUUUAUUUGCUCAAAAAACUUGUAAUAUUUCUUAGAUGAAAAGUUUUAUCAAAUGUCUUGAAAAAAAAUACUAUACUUGAUCUUGAAAUAACUUUUUCAAAAAUAAAAUAAAUUACUUUAUAAGUGAAUAUAUUAUUCUAUCAAAGUAUAGUUAAAUGCCAAAAAUUUGUACGCGCAUAAAAAAUUGGGUAAACUUUAAAUAUCACCUCUGUGAUUUCGUACUUUUUCACUUUAGUACCAUGUGGUUUAAAGUGUAUCAAUUUAUUAUCCUGUGGCUUUUUUUUUUUCGUCAGCUUCUCAGUUAACAUUUCGUUAAAAUAUAUACAAAAAGAUUUAGGACCCCACACGUAGAUUUAUUGAAUAUUCACUUUAAUACCUUUUAGUUUUAACUUUGUCACUGAUUUAACGAAAAAAAAAUUAGUGGAGGGAAUCAUAAAAAGAGAAAAAUGAAACAACGAGAUACUAAAUUGAUACACUUUAAACUAUAUGGUAUUAAAAUAAAAAAAUAUAAACUACAAAAAUAAUAUUUGAUGUUUUUUCUAAAAAAUAAAACUAACUUUAAAUCACAAAAGAAAAUCUUUACAAUGAACAAGUUAUCACCGAUUAUUUUAUUCUAAACAUCUAGAGAGAGAGAGAGAGAGAGAGAGAGAGAGAGAGAGAGGGGCAUCGCGGACGAUGACGCACGAGGCAGCGGGAGGGAAGGAGAGAGUGAGUGAAAUGGAGAGAGGAAAUGAUAUUUGAAGAAAGUUAAUGUGGGCCACGAAUAACCCCGUGAAUAUUUAACACUCUUUAUAAAGAUCGCAAAUUAUCUAUCGACUUCGCGAAAGCAGUAAAUUAUUAGGGUAUUUGGCCUAACUUUUAAAAAGUGCUUUUUGUGUUGAAAAGUAAUUUUCGAUUCAAUAGAGCGUUUGGUAAUUUCAUUUUUAAAAUCUGAUUCUACCUUUCAGAAUCAGAAAACUGAUUUUGAAAGCCCAGCAUUAGAAGCAGAAAAAAAUUACUUUUUGAAAUCUGAUUCUGAUUUUGGACUCAAGCAUCAAAUUUUUAUUUUUUUUUUAAAUUUAAUGUUUAAAUUUAAAUUUAAAUUUAAAUUUAAAAUUUAAUUUUUAGAUUCAUUUUUGAAUUUUUAAAUUUUAACUUUUAAAUUUUAAAAUUUUAAAAAUAGAUUUCAAAUUUUAAAUUUUAAAUUUUAAAUUUUAAUUUUAAAUUUCAAAUCUCAAAAUUUAGAUUUUAAAUUUUCAAAUUUAAAUUUAAAAAUUUAAAAAUUUUAAAUUUUAAAUUUUAAAUUACAAGUUUUAAUCUUCAAAUUAUAAAUUUCAAAAUUUUAAAAUUAAAAUUUUUAAUUUUUAAAAUUUAAAUUUUAAAUAUUCAUAUUGUAAAUUUCAUAAUUAUUAAUGUAUAUUUAUAUUUUUAAAUAUUAAAAUUUUAUAUUUUAAAUUUCAUAGUUAUUUAUAUUUGUAAAUUUAUAUUUUAAAUUUUAAAUUUUAAAUUUCAAAUUUUAAAUUUUAAAUUUUUUAAAUUAAAAUAUCGAAUUUUAAAUUUUGUAUAAUUUUGAAAUUUAAAAAUUUUAAUUUUGAUUUUAAUUUAAAUUUAGAUUUUAAAUUAUUUUAAAAUAAAAUUUAAUAAAAAUAUUAAUUUACGCAAACGUCAAAAAAAAACUUUUAUCAAACCGCUUUUCAAAAUCACUUCAGAAAAAUCACUUUUAUCUAAACUUAGCCAAACACUCUGCAGUUUUUAACUAAAAUUACUUUUCAAAAUUAAAAUCACUUUUUCAUAAAUUAAUUUUUUAAAAUCUAGGCCAAACGGAUUCUUACUGUUUCAGUUAACAACGGUAAAUAAUUCAUCGCUUACUCGUACAACAACAUUAAAGAUAGUGAAUGAACUAUUUAUUGGGUAUAUUUCGCCCUUUUGACGCCACAUUGCAAGGCAAGAUUAUUUUUAAAAAUUAUUUUUAUAAAUAAUAAUAAAGCCCGAUCACAAGGCACUAAGUUUUUUCUGGCUUAAUUACAAGUGGGUAUCUGCGUGCGUUCAACGUGUUAUCGUUGUUUAGUGUGGCGCUUCCUCGGAGAGCAACGCGGCUGGGUCCCACUGCCUGCCGAUGCCCGCCACGUGUCACUGCCCAUACGGCGGAGGACGCUCUCAGGGGACAGGGAAAAGUAACAACAAAAGUGCAUGAAUCCCCUGCUACAAGGAUCGUACAAUAUCAUACUACUAGUACAUGUGGCGUCGUGCUAUUGGUGAACGUUUCUCACACAUACGAUGUGGCCAAUAAGAAAAUGCCACGUGUCGACGAAAGGCGAUCUAGUUUCAACGGCGUGCAAUGUAGGGGAUUUAGUGCCACAGAGGAACAGGACCCCACCCGCUAGCUAAUCCUCGUACGUAUAUGGCAAAAAGAAAAGAAAAAGACUAAAAGAAAAGAUUUUCUAUUAUUAUAGUAAAAAAAAAGGAUAUUGGCUUUAGCUACUGCUGUUGUUGGGAAAAGCCCUAGAUAGCUCUUCCUGCGCCCCUUGACUAAGUUGUUUUUUUUUCUCUCUGAUCUCUCUCUAGAGGAGAAUGGAUGUAUUAUUGGUAAGUAGUCUCUCUCCACUCCCUAACCUUCUUCACCAGCUUCUUGUUGGGUUCUGAGUAUCAAUCUUCUCUUCUAAGUUCUUUUGUUUUCUUGUUCUAGCUUUUGAGAUCUUGAUUAGAUCUGAGGAUAAGUAGAGAGAGAGAGAGAGAGAGAGAGAGAGAGAGAGAGGAAUGGGGAGAGGGAAGAUUGUGAUCCGCAAGAUCGACAACUUGACGAGCAGGCAGGUGACAUUCUCAAAGCGGCGCAACGGCCUUCUGAAGAAGGCGAAGGAGCUCUCUAUCCUCUGCGAUGCCGAGGUCGGCCUCAUCGUCUUCUCCAGCACCGGCCGCCUCCAUGAAUUUGCUAGCUCAAGGUAUCAGCACCCCCUCCCCCGGCCCUCUCUCCCACAUAUUUGAGUGCAAGAUUCAUAUGCUUGUUUAGGUAUUAUCAGCAUCAGACUAUAUAGUAAUAAUUAAAAAGAUAUUAAGAAUUAUAAUCACACAUUUUGGAUAGAACAAGCUAGAAUACCGACAUUUAUAUAAUAGUUUAGGCUGAUAUAUAUUAAGGGCGGUAAAGCAUGGAGAGAGAAACCAGAGAUUGAUGCAUGUACAUAUAUAUAUCUAUCUAUAUAGGGCCCCUAUCACAAGAGAUUGAUGCAGAAGGAUGGAGAGAAAACUAAUUAAUUUUCAUAGAAUGUAACAGGUAUAUGUAGACAGCCUAACAUGUUUGCCACUUAAACCUGUUAGUAAAAACAUGCAAAUCAGUAGAAGUACCAAGUUUAAUAUUUUUAAAAGUAAAACAAAAGGAACAAUAAAUUAACAACUCUAAAUUAUUUGUGCCUUCUUAAUUAACCUUCUGAGAAAGUGUCCUUGAUAUCAGUCUAUGAAUGAUUCAAUAUUCUCUAUCAGCAAAUAUCAUUUAUAUUAUUAGAUAAUGUGGUUAGGUUAUUAGAGAGUAAAUGGUUAGUACCACUUCUUCAUAAACCUAAACUAGUAGUUAAAUUUACUUGGGUAAACUUUAAUUAGUCCCCCUUGUCUCUCCAAAAAAAGAAAAAAAAAGAGAAAAAAAAGAGAGAAAAAAGAAGAAGAAGAAAGAAAAGAGAUUAGCCCUGAUCGACUCUUUUGUCUCAUUUGUACUUUGCCACUUUACUGUCUAGAAAGUUACACUGUGCUAUCCUGUAGGUUUAUUUUUAUUUUACCAUAAGGAUAUACCGUUAAAUAAAUUUGCAAAGUUCUAUAUCUUGUAAACAACGGGAUGUUAGAAAAGUGCUAUAAUUUACAUAUACCACAAUACCAAAAAUUGUAGUAUUUUAUCAUCCUAUAUAUGAUUUGUACUAUACCAUACUACAUAACUAUUACUCUAUUUAAUGGCCGUUUCUGACGAUGUAGCGCAAACAAAACUAUAGGAUAACAAAGUAAAGCGUACUCAAACUAACAAAGUGCAAAUCAGCUAUUAGUUUAUCAAGUUUACUUCACACAUAUAUAUUAGAAUCGAAGUACUUAUAAUCUAAAAAUAAUCAUGUUGCUUGUUGCUACCAGUGAUGGUGAUAGUUUGCUUUGCAUGUUACAACCUAGAAUCUUGAUUGUUCAUCACUGCGCUCAAAAUAAUUGAACUGAUGGAAGGGCUUAUGUUAGAUGGUUUUGAGAAAGAAAUCAAUAUCCUUAAAUGUGCAUUGCAUAGGUGGAGAAAACUAGGAAUGCCAUAGAGAGAAAUUGCAACACUUGUGUGAACAAGAUUAUGAAAUAGUAGAAAACAAAUGGUUUCGGACACAAUUAAUAAGAUGUCUUAACUAACAGAAAUACGAGUUUAUAAAAUGAACACUAGUUCAUCAUGUGAAAAGGUCAAUUAGUUCAGUACAUUUUCAUUAAUGGAAAAUUAAAAGAAUUUACUCUCUUGUUAUCAGGAUGAAGUCAAUAAUUGACCGCUACAACAAUACAAAGGGAGAGCAGCAUCAGGUGUUGAGCACAAUUUCUGAAGUUAAGGUAUGUAUACAUUAAUUUGUUUCCUGUAAGACUAUUAGCAUUAUAGCUAACAGAUAAAUAAGAAGAGUAAUACAUCUAUACUUUUUAUUUUUCAAUGCGCUUUACUCAUUCUUAUUUAUCUGUUCAAAUUUAAUUUUUGUUUAGUUGUAACCUGCAAUAACAGGUCACCUUGAGAGAGAUAUCGGUCAUCACGUACCCAAAAAAAAGAUAUUUUGGUCUUUUGAUUCUAGGAUAAUUAAGUAAUUUUAUCCCCACUAUAUUAUCUAAUCUAUUCUCUCUUUGUUUACUUUUUUUUUAAUUUCUCUAUCUUUCCUUUUAUUCACAUAUAUAUGUGAAGAGAAAUAAUUGUUUCGGGUUUGGAUUUUUGAGUUUGGGUUUGGGUAUCGAAUUUUUGGUGAGUUUUGGGUUUGGAUAUGGACUUUUGAAAUCCGUAGGGUUCGGAUAUAGAUUUUGGAAUAGACAGUUGGAUUUGGUUCAGGUUUUUGAAAAAUCUGAUCCAAAUCUAACCCGUUGACAUCACUAACCAUUGGUUCCUAACCAUUACCUGUUUUUUACCAAUAAUCUUAAGCUUUUUAAUUUGGCCAAUUUGCAUAAAAAAUCCAUUAGUUUUGAGCCUAUGCAGAAGUAGGCCGUCAUUUUGGAUUUUACAGAUUCUGGUCCGAUUUUCAGAAAACUGACCAAAAUACCCUUAUUCCCUUUUCUCUCUCCUUUUUUUUUCACUUGUUCUUUUUUUUCUUUCUCUCCGAAGGCGGAGGCGGAGAAGGAGACGGCCCGCCUCGCCUUUGUCCCGCAUGCCCUCGCCCUCGCCCUCGCCCAUGCACCCUCCCUCUAGCUUCCUCGCCCCGACCCCACCGAGGCGGCGCCUCGACCCACUUUUUUUUUUUUUUUUUUUUUUUUUCUCUCUCUCUCUCCAACCCCACUCAAUUGCCUCCCCGGCUCUUUACAACAGUAAAGAGAGUAACAUCACAUCCUCUUCCUCUCCUUUUUUCUCUCUCGUUCUUUCUUUUUUCUCUCCAACCCCCUUCUACCGCCUCCACGACCUUCCAUGAUGGUAACGAGCAUAGCACCACAUCCUCUUUCUCCGCCUUCGCCGGCGUAAGUACCGACGCCGGUGCCGGAGAAGGAGGACUCGGAGCAAGUGUGGGUGAGAGCGGAGUCGAGAAAAAAUAUGUAAAAAAUAAAAAAUAAAAAGAAUAAAGAAUAAAGCAUAAAGAAAAAUAGUUUUUUCUACAAGAAAAAUAAAGAAUCAGAGAGAAAAAAAGAAGAUAAUGAAUUUGCACUAUUUUAGGAUAAUGUUGCACUAUUUCAGAAAAACGUUGCACUGUUUUUGAAAAAAAUUAUCCUCUUUGAGAGAAAAAAUAUAAUUUUUUGGAUGAAAAUUGCAUUCUUUGAACGAAAAUUGCACUAUUUGGCCGAAAAUUGCACUAUUUUGUCAGGAAAAGGAGGAAGAGAAGGAGAAGAAAUAGUAUAAUUUUUGCCCAAAUAAAGUAUUUUUCGUUCAAAGAGUGCAACUUUCAUUUAAAAAAGUAUAUAUUUUUUUCUCAAAUAGUGUAAAUUUUCUCUAAAAUAGUGCAACGUUCCUCUAAAACAAUGCAACAUUCCUCUAAAAUAGUGCAAAUUCAUCAUUUUCUUCUUUUCUCUCUGGUUCUUCAUUUUUUUUUUAUAGGUAAAAUUAUUUUUCUUUAUAUUUUAUUCUUUAUCUUUUUAUUUUUUAUUUUCUAGCUCUUACCCACACUUGCUUUGAGUCCUUCUUCUCCAGCACCGGCGUCGGUGCCUGCAUUGGCGAAGGUGGAGGAAGAGAAUGCGGUGCUAUUUUCGUUACCAUCGUAGAGGGUCGCGGAGGCGGUAGAUGGGGUGGAGGGUCACGGAGCCGGUAGAUGGGGGUUGAAGAGGAAAAAAAAGAACGAGAGAAAAAAAAAGGAGAGGAAGAGAACGUGACACUGCCUUCUUUACUAUUGUAAAAAGUCAGGAAGGCGGUAGAGGAGAGUCGGAGAGAAAAAAAAAAAAGGAAAGUCGAGGUGCAGUCUCAGCGGGGUCGGAGACGAGGAAAGCAAAGAGAGAGUGCGCAGACGAGGGCGAGGGCGAGGGGAAAGGCGAGCGGGACAGAGGCCACGCAAGUUGCCUCUGCCUCCGCCUCCGCCGCCCUCUUCGGAGAGAAAGAAAAAAAGAACGAGAGAAAAAAAAAAAGAGGAGAGUGAAAAGGGAAUCGGCGUAUUUUAGUCAGUUUUCUGAAAAUUUGGCAUGAAUCUGCAAAAUCCAAAAAGGCACCUAUUUUUGCAAAAGCUCAAAACUAAUGGAUCUUUUAUGCAAAUUGGCCUUUUAAUUUUUACACUUAAAAUUAUGUUAAAAUGUUUAUUAUCUCUAAUGGUUAAAAUGUAAUUAUUUUUAAAACGUUUAUUAUCUCUAACGGUUCAAAAUUGCUCUUAAUCUUAUUCAGUUCAAAGGGUUGAACCAAACUGCUUGAUAGACUGGGCUACGGUCUGACCGGUAAAACCACUCGGUUCAAUCUGGUUUUUAAAUCAUUGAUACUAACAUAAUAUACUAUAUAAAUUAUUGAUAGUAAUCUUGAAGAAGAGAAUUCAAAUUCUUCUUAUUCAUUCAAUAAUGAAUUAUAAAGAUAUAUAUACAUAAAUGUUUCUAUAAUAAGAUAUUAAUCAUGACUUUCCAUAACACUCUCCCUCAAGUUGGAGCAUAGAUAUUAAUCAUGCCCAACUUGUUACAAAUAUAGUCAACCCGAGCUCCAUUCAAAGCUUUUGUAAAGAUAUCCCCCAACUGGUCUCCAAUCUUGAUACCCUGUUGAAAUGAUCUUCUGUUGUAUCUUUUCACGAAUAAAGUGACAAUCAAUCUCAAUGUGUUUAGUUCGCUCAUGAAAUACAGGAUUAGAAACAAUAUGGAGAGCAACUUGAUUAUCACACCAUAAUUUAAUGGGUUGUGGAUUAUUAAGACCAACCUCAUCCAAUAAUUGUUAUAUCCAUAUUACUUCACACACAGAUUGUGCCAUAGCCCUGUAUUCUGAUUCAGCACUAGAAUGGGAGAUAACACUCUACUUCUUACUUCUCCAUGACACCACGUUACCUCCAACAAAAACACAAUAUCCUGUAGUCGAUCUCCUAUCAACCUUUGAACUCGCCCAAUCUGCAUCUGAAAAGCAUUCAAUAUUUGAAUGUCCAUGGUUCUUGUAGAAGAUACCACGCCCUGGAGCUCCCUUCAGAUAACACAAAAUUUGUUCCAAAGCUUUCCAAUGAGUAACAGUCGGAGAAGACAUAAACUGACUUAACACACUAACGGAGUAUGCAAUAUCUGGUCGAGUCAUUGUAAGAUAGUUCAAUUUGCCAACUAAUCUUCUAUACCUCUUUGGAUCUUCAAACAAUUCAUCAUCAUUAGCUGUAAGUUGGAGAUUAGGAGCCAUUGGUGCACUGCAAGGUUUAGCUCCUAAUUUUUCUGUUUCUGCUAAUAAGUCAAGCACAUAUUUUCUUUGAGAUAAGAAGAUGCCUCUUUUACAUCUUGUAACUUCAAUACCCAAAAAAUACUUCAACAUCCCCAAGUCCUUUGUUUGAAAUUGGGUUUGAAGAAAAAGCUUGAGAGAUGAGAUUCCUGUAGUAUCAUUCCCAGUGAUGACAAUAGCAUCCACAUACACUACUAAUAGAAUUAUACCAGUCUCAAAAUGUCUAUAAAACAUAGAAUGAUCACACUUACUCUUCUUCAUGCAAAACUCCUGAACUACUUCACUGAAUCUGCCAAACCAAGCUCGAGGACUUUGCUUCAAGUCAUAUAAGGAUUUCCGAAGUCUACAAACUCGACCUAACUCCUCCUGAGCAACAAAAUCAGGUGGUUGCUUCAUAUAUACCUCUUCUUGAAGAUCACCAUGGAGAAAAGCAUUUUUAAUGUCCAGCUGGUGUAAAACCCAAUGAGAGGUCGUUGCCAACGAAAUAAAUAAGCGAAUAAAAGCAAGUUUAGCCACAGGAGAAAAAGUGUCGGAAUAAUCAACCCCAUAAGUUUGAGCAUAGCCUUUGGCAACAAGGCGGGCUUUUAGGCGAGCUACAGAAGCAUCUGGAUUCAUUUUCACAGUAAAUACCCAUUUGCAACCAAUAGCUCGCUUAUCGUAGGUAUGGGUACCAGUUCCCAAGUACCAUUAGCAUCUAAAGCCAUCAUUUCCUCUUCCAUUACAGCACACCAGCUAGGAUGAGACAAAUCUUCCACAACAAAUUUAGGAACAGAAACUGACUCAAGAGAGGUAAUGAAACAACGAGAAGAGGAUGACAAACAGUCAUAAGAAACAAAUGAUGAAAUAGGGUAAGUACACAUACGUUUGCCUUUGCGAAGAGCAAUGGGAAAAUCAGAGUCAGAAGCAAGGUCGGUAAUAGUAGUGACUAGAUCUUCCGACGAAGAAGCUGGUGGAGGAUCUGAGUCAGGAGUCGCCAAUCUCCUAGAAUAGACGUGAACAAUAGGGGGUCGAACAGGUGCCGAUGGAGCAGGAAUAAGUGUUGCAGGACUGGACACUUGUCUGAUAGUGUGAACAAGGAGAGCAUCUUCCUCCCCUAACUUUCAUAAAUAGAUAAAAGAGGAAAGAAUGGAGUAGAUUCAAAAAAUGUAACAUCUGCAGACACAAUAUAUCGAUCGAGAGUUGGAAAGAAGCACCGAUACCCCUUUCGCAUAUGAGAAUACCCAAGGAAGACGCACUUAAAGGACUUUGGAUCCAAUUUAGUUACCUGUGGACGAACAUCUCGCACAAAACACGUGCUACCAAAAAGACGAGGUUCAAUAAGAAAUAAAUAUUUAGAUGGAAACAAAAUAGUAUAAGGAAUAUCACCAUCCAAGACAGACGAAGGCAUGCGAUUAAUUAGAAAACAAGCUGUGGAAACUGCAUUAGCCCAAAAGUGUUUAGGAACUUUCAUUUGAAAAAGAAGGGCACGAGCUACCUCAAGGAGAUGUCGGUUUUUCUUUCAGCAACUCCAUUUUGGGAUGGAGUGUCAACACAUGAGGAUUGAUGAAGGAUGCCAUUCUGUGUCAUAUAACUGUGAAAAUUUUCUGAAAAAUAUUCUUUGGUAUUGUCACUUCGCAAUAUACGCACAAAAACAUUAAAUUGUGUUUUGAUUUCAGUACUUAAGGUACAAAAAAUUGAGAAUAGUUCUGAACGAUUUUUCAUUAAAUAUAACGGAGUAACACGAGAAUAAUCAUCCACAAAGAUAACAAAAUACUUAAAUCCUGAUUUGGAAAUAGUAGGACACAGACCCUAAAUAUCAGAAUGAACUAACUCAAAAGGGGACGAUGCCCGUUUAUUGACUCUAGACACAGAAGGUAAACGAUGAUGCUUAGCAAACUGACAUGACUCACACUCUAGACUGGACAAAAGUAGAAACUGCGAAAACAAUUUCUUCAAGGUGGAUAACGAAGGAUGUCCCAACCGACAAUGGACCUCAAAAAGAGUUAAAUUACUGGAGCAAGCAAGAGACCUUAGCACUUGGUUGUCAAGGAUAUAGAGACCUCCAGACUCAUGUCCUCUACCAAUAAUCUGUUUCGUCGUAAGAUCCUGAAACUAACAAUGAUCAGGAAAAAAUGAGACACAACAAUUUAAAGCCUGGGUGAGUUUACUAACAGAUAGUAAAUUGAAAGAAAAUUGGGGUAAACAUAAAACAAAUGACACAGAAAUUGAUGACAUUGGGUUUGCAAUGCCAGAAUCCAUGACACAAGAGGUAGAUCCAUCAGCUAAAGCAAUAGCAGAAAAUGUUAUAUGAGACUGAAAGGCAGAUAAUAGACUAGAGUUACCUGUCAUAUGGUCCGUAGCACCAGAAUCAAUGACCCAUUUGUAGUGGGAAGACACAAGGCAUAAUGUGGAUUUACCUGACUCGGCGAGUGCAGUGACAGAGGAACUGGUGGACUUUAAGGAUGCCUGAUAUGGGGAGAACUAUGCAAAUUUUUAAGCUGACACCAAAAUAGUUUUCUCUGAGAAUGGGAUUUCUCUGAGGAUGGGGUUGUAUGCUCCCCGGUUACCAUGUUGACUAUCUGAGAUCGUUGGUUCUUAUUUUGAAGUUUCAAACAUAAGCGCUUUGUAUGAUCAGGUUCAUGACAGUAAUAGCAAACAACUCCAAAAUCUCGAUUAGAGGCAAUCUCUCCAUAACAGUGAUUACCUCUAUUGGCAGUAAUCGCUCUAUUGCCCCCUUUACUAUUAUGUCGUCCAUUAUCAUUGCGACUCACAAGCGCGCUAUUAGUAGAUUGAGAAAAUUGAGGAAUCUCCGUACGAAGUACUCGUGUGAAAGUAUCAUGCAAAGUGGAUAUCACAGAGCUAGAAAGAAUUUGAGAUUUAGCUGUCUCAAAUUCUGGGGGUAAACCAGCAAGAAAACUCAUAACCGCUAUUUACUCGCGUUGAACCUGCUACACUUUUACAUCAGGACUAAAGGGUAACAAAACAUUAAGCUCUUCAUAAACACGUUUAAAGUCCAUAAAUAAGCUGUGAGAGACCUAUCUUGCUUCUCAGAUCGGUAAAAUACUUUACAAAUAUCAUAUAUGCGAGAGAGGUUCCUUUUGCCAGAGUAUAAAAAAAUCUAAAUAAUCUAUCAAUUCUUUCACAAACUCACAAUGUCACGCCCCGGAUUACACUUUCCCCGGGCACGCCGACAAAUCCGCCGUAUACAAAGGAAUUUCCCCUGUAUACGAAGCGAUAGCUGUACCUGUAAAUCAAACACUACUACAAACAGUAGUAGAGAGCUGCUAGAGAAAACUGAAGCUAAAUAAAACAGAGUUUCAUAUACAUAGUUCGGAUCCAAAAUACAGANAUAUUGCAGCAAGAAGGCUUCUCUCUCUCUCCCUACACGAAACUAUAUAGAGGGGAGUGAGGGAGAUACAAACGAGGCAAGGUAAAAAUACUAAAAAGCCCCUCACCUACUCUGGUGUACCGGUACACGGGAUCGCGUACCGGUACAGGAGCCAACCCGAGAGCAACCCGCGCGCGGCCCAGUGCAGUGUACCGGUACACCUUGAUGGCUGUACCGGUACGGCAAGCAGAAAAACUGCUAUUUGCAGAUUUUCUUCGCUGAAAGCUGCCCUCGCGUCGCACGGAGUCCGUUUUGCGUCUAUUUGGCGCCAACGCGACUCAGACCUGUCCCGACACUCUACAGAGCUGUCGACAAGCCUCCAGAGCUGAACACCAGGGAUCUCACACACAAUGAUUAAUAAGACUAAUUACCUCACUUUGAAUGGAGUUCCUUAGUUGUAAGAACAACCGAGCAUCUUCCCUCAGCCAAGCUUGCUUUGUAUCAUCGUUCGGUGGAUCGCUAGUUAGGUGAUCAUCCUUAUCAAUGCUUCGUAGAUAAACACGAAUUGUCUUGCCCCAUUCCAGAUAGUUGGAGCCAUUAAGUUUGUGUUCUGUGAUUUUGGUCAUUACCGGGAUUACAUCGGCAAUCACAGAUUUUGGCUCACUCUUAGCAGGCACAGUUUCAGACAUGGCGCCUUGGACAACGAGACCAAGUCACAAAGCAGCUCGCAGGGCUGCACUCUACACCUCGCUGCGAGGCAAAUAAAACAACCCUAGGUAUGUCACCUAAGGAUCAAAACAAAAACCAGAUGCACGAACCUUAAGUAGCACCGAUACUGUAGCGCCGAACUGUAGCAGUACUAUAGUGAUGUACUGUAGCAUUACUAUAGUACCAUACUGUAGCACCGUACUGUAGCGAUGACUGUAGUAGUACGUAGUGGUAGAGAAAAAAAAAAAAGAACGAGCAACGCUGAUGAGAUCCGGUGAGGGACAGCACUAGAUCGCUAUACCCUAGAAUUAGGGUUUUGCUCUGAUACCAUGAAGAAGAGAAUUUAAAUUCUUCUUAUUCAUUCAAUAAUGAAUUACAAAGAUAUAUAUACAUAAAUGUUUCUAUAAUAAGAUAUUAAUCAUGACUUUCCAUAACAAAUCCAAAACUUCUAUUUAUUGUUUAAAACUCGUCGAACUUGGCUGCAGUUUUGAGAUUGAUAGUUAGGUUCGUGUUCAUAUUUUUAAAAAUCUAGCUCUUAUUUGACCUGUUGACAUCACUAAUCAUUGGUUCCAAGCUACUACUUUUUUUUUACCACUAAUCUUAACUUUUUAAAUUUUUAGGGUAAUCUUCAAAUACCCCCCCUAUGGUUUCACACUUUCUCACUUUAGUACCCCGUGGUUUAAAGUGUAUCAAGUUAGCCUCUGUGGUUUCGCACGUUCUCACUUUAGUACCAUGUGGUUUAAAGUGUAUCAAGUUAGUACCCUAUAGUUUAAAGUGUAUCAAGUUAGUAUCCUAUGGUUACAACUUUUAAAAUUAAAAGUUGUAACACUUAACUCAGUACUAUUGUAGUUUUCUUACUAUUUCAUAAAUUGUGUAGUACAACUGAGUAAUUACUAAAAUAUUCACUUAAUCCUUAAAAAUGAUGAAAAAAAUUAACUAGUAAAUAGUUAAGGAUCUCUUUCAUUAACUUAUCUAAUUUGAAAGAAAAUAUAAGUUUCUUAUGCAUUCCCAAUAUUUUUAAGAAUAUAAUGUGUAUCUCAGAAAGUUUCUUAGCUGUACCAUAUAAUUUUAUGAGAUAGUGAUAAAAUUGUAAUAGUGAUAAGUACUACAGCUAUAUAUAUAUAUAUAUAGAUAGAGAGAGAGAGAGAGAGAGAGAGAGAGUUCGGCUGGAAUACUAUCGAUAGCACCAAGGAUUUGGUGCUAUCAAGUUUUCCACCACUAGAUUUAACCCUUUGAUUAUUUUUAUCCGUUAGAUUAUACUAUUCAACCAACCACUCACUCAACCCUAUGGGGCCCACAUCAUCCUACCCACACAUUUUUUAAUCCAAGGGCUAAAAAACUAAAAGCACCAAUUGCUUGGUGCUAUUGAUAGUAUUCUAGCCUAGUUCUCUCUCUCUCUCUUUCUCUCUCUCUCUCUCUCUCUCUCUCUCUCUCUCUCUCUAUAUAUAUAUAUAUAUAUAUAUAUAUAUAUAUAUAUAUAUAUAUAAAUAAAUGGGUAGUACGCUACAUGCUUUAUUCAUUGGAAAAAUGAACUUGGCUAUAAGCGUGAGGCAACAAGGCCUCAAGGAACAAGAAAAAAAUAAAAAGAGAACGAGUGCAAAAGAUAAAAAGUAGAAAAAAAGAGCCUCUUAGCGGCCACAAAAGUCUACCCACUGUCACCAUUGGGUCAAAGCAAUGAUAUAUAAAAAUUAGGCUAAAUUACAAAAAAACCCUCAUAUCAAAAUUCGAUUUUUCACUUUCUAUUCCUGUCAUUUAAAAACCUACAUUUUGCCCCCUAAAAAUUGAAAAAUGUUCACAGGGGGGUACGGUGUUAAUAAUAUUGAUAAAAUGAUCAAAAUGCCCUCUCCCUCUUCCCCACCUCCCUCAACCCUCCUUUAUCUGUAGAAGGGUAUUUUCGGUAUAAAAAUAUAUAAUAAUGGAUAUAGACGGAACCCUAACGGAACACUGACGGCGGGGUCCAAAGUGAAUAUUUAUUAUUUUUUAGGUGGGCAAAGUGUAGGUUUUUAAAUGAUAGGGAGGGAAAGUGAAAAAUCGGAUUUUGAUAGGGAAGUUUUUUGUAAUUUAGGCUAAAAAUUAUGUUGUUUCUCUCCUACUAUAUUAUCCACGACCAUAGAUUGGUGACGUAAUACUCAAUCUCUUCGCUACGUACAAACUGGGACUUCUUCUCCACCAUUAUCGUCCAACAAAUUCUUACAUCAUCAUUAACCCUUGAUUCUUAUGCCCCCUCUAGUAGUUUCACUAAUAAAAAUCUGUUGUACACACAUUUCAUGAAUAGAUGGUCAACUUUCUCGCACUCAACAGCACAAAAGACACAACACUAAUUCCCCAACCAUCCUCUCUUAAUUAAGUUAUCCACCAUGGGUAUUCUUUUCUUAAAGGCUAUCUACAAAAAUCUUCACUUUCAGUGGUAUUCUUAGUCUUCAAAUCAUCAAAGACUGAUUGUCUCUAAAACCCUCAUCGCUAAGCAUCUUAUUUGUACAUUGAAUUCACCAGUGUCAACCUGCCCCCGCGAAAGAGUAAUUUUAUUUGCCAGCCAUCUAGUCGCCUUUCAACUUUGUUAGUAAUCUCCAUCCAAUCCUCUUUCCUUAAUGUCCUACUUGAUAGAGGCAGGACCAUGUACUUAGUUGGGAACCUUCCAACCUUGAAGGCAAAAAUGUCCACCGGCUGCCUUGCCUUAUUUUCUCUACUAUCCAUGUAGAAUAUUUUUUACUUCGCUUUGUUAAUCUUGGCCCAAGAAACCUACUCAAAGAUAGAAGGUUUUUCCUAUACUUCCUUUUAGCCUUACAGAAAAAUAUCAUAUAGUCUGUGUACUAUAUGAAUGUUACCACACUAUCUUCUAUAAGUCCAAUCGCCUUAAGUAGAUUGGAUCUAGCUGCUCUUUUUUAUUAUUAUUAUGGCUAAGCAUUUUGCCACCAACACGAAAAGGAAGGGAAAUAGUGGAUCUCUUUGUUGCUCCCCUCGUUUCGUUUUAAUCCAUCUCAUAGCCUCUCCAUCGACCAUGAUAGCUGCCUUAGUAUAUAUUAUAAAUAUACUACUCUAUCCCCCCGUAUCAUUUCUCACCAAGCCCGACCAAUCCAUGAUUUUGAAACAAAUUUCGGUUGAUUUUAUCAUAUGCCUUCUCAAAGUCUACUUUCACCACAAUCCCUUCAUCAUUUCUUUACAUCCCCACAUAACAAAUUCAGUUGUUGUAAUAAAGAGUAUGAUAAGAGCCUCCCAUUUAAAAAAGCCGAUUGGAAGGGUGACAUAAUUCCUUGCAUAACUUCCUCCAGUUUGUUGAUGAGGACCUUAAAUUUUUUUUAUAUCUUGUUAAGUAAACUAAUAGGCCUAAAGUCAUUUGCUUGCUUAACUCCUAUUUUAGGAAUAAGACAAAUAUAGGAGUAGUUAAUAGGUCUUGUGAAUAGUUUUCCCUCAUACAGCUCUUGAAAGAUGUUACAAGUACCAUCCCUAAGUCCUUUCAAUGCUAUUUGAUGAUGGCGGCCUCUCUUUCGUCUUCCUCUGCCUACUACAUUAAUUUGCCGAUCUUUUAGUAUUGUUAUCUUGUUGAAAAGCAAUCACACCUCGCAUCUCCUCGUCUCUUCCAUUUGGUUGCCUAUCUCCAACCUACUCAUGGUUCUAGUCACCCCCGUCACUAGGCUUGCCUGGUGGUGGUGACAGGGGAGCACUAUGGUUGCUAUCUUUCCCCCUUUUGUAGCUAUCUAGAUGAACCAGGACAUUAAUACACUCAUAUCUAAGAACAAUUAAUGGACAAGUUUUGAGGGAUGUCCCUGUGGUUAUUGACUACCAAAUAACAUCCAAAUGCCCUCAGAUCCAUCUUGGUUUUACUUGUUUCAUCUGCUCACAGGGACUUUUUGAUGCUGCUAAUGAGCGCCACCCACCUAGCCACCAUCGAGCAUUCAAAUGCUAAUGAGCGCCACCCCCCUAGCCACCAUCUACUCGCAGGGACAUUUUGCCUUAUUAGGAUUUCCCCAUACACCCAUGCCAGAAGAAGAAUUAUAAAGUUUUGUUGUAAUACCCUAAGUCUUUGUUUGGUUGGAGGUUAAGGGGUGGAAUAACCACUUAACCCUCAUACUAUCUCUAAACACCUUCAAAAAUGGGUAGGGUUAGCUAAUCCCAUCUCAAAUGGGCUAUUCCGGAUUAACUAACCCCACCUAACCUCACGAAAUCCGAACCAAACAUUAUUUUCUAUUCAUAAUAACCCACUAUCCUUCUUAUCCUACCUACUCUAACCAAACACUAUUUUUCACUAUCUUGGACUAACUCCAACCCCCAACCAAACACAAAAAUACUCUAACCCCAGCUUAACCCUGAACUUAACCCUAUCCCUGGAAUAACUAGUUUUUUCUUAACCCCGAACCAAACGGUAGCUAAGAGUUCUAGAUUGGAUAAGGAAAGGGGUUCUGAUUAAGAAUAUAAGAGGCCAUACAGCAUAUUAGGUUUAAGCAUUUUAGGCCAAUGGUUAUUGUUGCUAGUGAGUUGGCUUGUUACAUUUGGUAUCAGAGACAGUUCAUCGGUUGGAAGUGUAAGGUAGGCCUUACAUCGCCUGGUAAUCUUGCAUUAUAUCUGUGAUUAGGCUGAGAAAGACAUUAGGGCUUAAACAGGAAAAGUUUGUGACACUCAUCCAUAUCGAAUUGGAACAGAGCUGUGAUUAGAAAUGUAAGGCACCACGGAGUCAUGAACCAUAGUGCUAACAGUUGGGCUUAAGUAUUUUGGAUCUGUGGUUUGGGUCCAACGAGUUAUUAUUGUUAGUAAAUCAGAUUGGUAUACCCGCUCUCUAUGUUUUGCAACAAAAAAAAUCAGCCGAUAUCUGCUAAAAUGACUAGCCAGAACAUUGGCAAUCAUUUGUAGUAGAGAGUAACCUAGAUUUGUCGAUUGCACCAUAUCUGUUAACAUCGCAUUUUGCUGUAGUUCCCUCUGCUUAAUACUACUCUGUAUAGGGUACAUAUGCUCUUGCAGCUAGAAUGCGUCCUCAUACACAGUGCACCCAUGUACAUUUUGGAGUUUCUCUAUCGAAGUCUCUCCUUGCACUAUUAAGCCCUAUGCCCCAUCCUUAGGCACCGGAGACAUAGGAUGGGAUCCUUGCACAUAGCCGCUAAAUGGUCUCUCACCAAACAGUGGAAGCACCUCCCAAUGAGCGAUUGUUUUAUCUCACCCUUAUCCUAACUUGCUCAAGUUCCAUUGUAUGGAUUGGCAGGUGCUUUCAUUACCAGCCUGGAGUAAUUCAGGAUGACCUCUGAUAGGAUUGGAAUGAUCUAGGAGGACCUCUUUAUAGGACUAGAAUGAUCUAGGAGGACUUUUGCUCGAGUAAGGAGGAGUAAUGGUAGGCAUAAUAUUGAGGUGAUUCCCUCACAAACUGAUAGCUAGAAAAUCUAAUUGUGUUGUUCUUUAUUUCUUGUAAAGCAUUAUCACCCUUUUUCACCCCUUUUCUUUACAAUAAAUAGGGCGGUUCCCUGCUUCAGCUCAUUCAAAGGACUAGUACGUGCAAGUUGCUCUUCAUAUGCCACCUAACUUAUCCACCUAAGCCACUCAUUUGAUCGCCGACGACUUCAUUUUCUAGUCCUCUCGUUUUUUCUCCCCCUUUUCAAUUCUAUUGUGGUUUCCUGUGUCUUCUCCCUUACAACCAUGAUGUCCGACGACUCGUCCAAGAAACAUUUGUCUCUAAUAUUGUUUCUCUAGGUUGGGCUCAAGCUUUGAUGGUAUCUUCGGUCCAUCAGUACUGCUCCUCACCGGUGGCUCAUGGCUUCCCUUUCGACCUUGCAGCGCCACCCAGGGUCCUUCACUGCUUUUGCCUUCUCUUUCUCACCGCUGACUCGUAGCUUCCUUCUGACCAUGUAGCGUCACCAGGGUCCUUUGAUGCCUCUUCCUCCUCCUCCUCGCUGAUGGCUCAUGUUUGUGUAAGAUAACUCUAAAUUCGUAGGGGGGGAAAUAAAUUUUUUUUUAAAAUAGGGGGUGAAGUGAAAAAAUAAAAAUUUACAAGGAGGUUUUCUAUAUUUUAGCUAUCAUUAAUGUAUCGGUAGAUGACUUAUGCAUAGAAUCUACAAUACAUUAAAGAAAGAUGAGGAACGGUCGUUUGUGGUAUGCUCACAUGCAAAGGAGAAAUAGAUACACCUCUUUAGGAAAGGCAUGGCAAGUCAAGAAAAUAAUGUCGAAAAGAUCUGGAGAAAAGCUAGAAAAAAUUCAAAUAAAGGUGAAAAUAAAAGAUUUAGAGAUAGCCAAGACCGCAAGUAAGGAUUUGUAUCUAGAUUCUUUUCUUCAAGUAAUUCAUACAAUAAAAGCACAUCUUGGGCUGAAUUAUGGGUGAGCAGAGGCACUUAAAUACUUAUUCCAUUUUUCUCUUUUUAAAGAAUCCAUCCCUUAGGAUACUUGAUUUGGCGGGCCUCUAAUGGUAACUGCAAUUAUAGACAACAGACCAAGUCCAAACUAACACAAAUUAUCCAGGUUUAAGUCAAUGUUCGAGUAAAAAAAAAAUGAAAUAAAAAAAUAAUAAAAAAAAAAAGAAAAAAAAGAGGGAAAAAUGUAAAAUUUGAAAAAAUAUCCCACUUCAAAAAAAAAAGGAAGGAAAGAAAAAAAAAUUUCAUACCUUAAUCAAGGUACCAUUCCUUUUCAAAAAAAUUUGAAUAGUUUUAAAAAAGGCACUAUAGCCAUUAGAGCUUAAAUAAGGAGGCCCCUGAAAAAAAAACAAGGCGGGCGGGCAUCAAAAAAAAAGAGGGAACCAAGAAAGGCAAAAAAAAAAAGAAAGAAGAAAAAAAAAGGCUGCGAAGAAAAAAAAAGCCUUUACUACUCUCCUCCUCUCCUCCUCUCGUCUCUCAUUCUCUCCUCUUCUCGUCUCUUGUGAUAACGGGCACCAAAGGGGAGCCCUUAUUGGUCUUGCUGGCAGAGGGCGGUGCCAUGUGCACCCCUCCUCCAAUCCGACACAGACACGAAUGCGAAUCGGCGACGACUCGACACGGCACGAACAACCGACACUUUCGACAAGGCCGAAGCACAAUAAUUCACAUACAACAAGGAGAUACGCAUGCGUACCAUAGCGUAGGUGUGAUAUUUUGUUGUUUGAUAAGACCCGACCAUCCUUCUGUAUAGGUUUCGAACGCUGGCAAAUCUAAACAUCAAAUAUCAUGAGUUCCGCCAUGCGAUUAUUGUAAUCUCCAAGCCGGUGCCGCAUCUUCGGAUAGGCUCGACAGUCAAAAUAUAAUGAUCGACAACUGGAGGUUUUAAUUACAUAGCGUGCGGCAUCUUCAGUAUGGCUCUGACAUGGGUAUAUCAAAAAAAAUCGUAGGGCAUCUAGCCGAUAGGCUCAGACACGGCUCAAAAUAAUGUCGAACCGGAGUUUUAUACGUAAGCAUUGCGGCUCAUCUUCUGUGAUAGGCUCGAUAUGGGUAUAAAAAAUCGUGGCGCAUCUCAAGCGUUGGCUCGACAAGAUAAACUCCGCAAAACCGACAAAAAAAUAACAUGAAGAAUGAUGAUAAUAAUGGACGGGUUUUGAUUCGUCAUAAAUUUCGAGACGAGAUUUUGACCAAAUAAACAAAAUACAAAAAUAAUAAUAAACAACACAAAGAAAACAAAAAAGAGAACAAAAAAGAAAUAAAAAAAAGGAAGUACCCUCCCUCUCUCUUCUCUCUCGUUUACAUACACACAGAGAGACGAGAGAAUUGGUUUUCCCCUCUCUGUCUUUCUCUGCCGCAAAAAAAAAAAAAAAAAAAAAAAAAAAAAAAAAACGAAAAAAAAAGAAGAAGAAAGAAUAGAAAAAAAGGAAAGAAAGAGAACUGAAAAAAAAAGAAAAAAAAAGAAAGAGAGUUGGGUUGCAACUCUUUUCACUCCCUCUCUGUCAGUGAAAAAAAAAAAAAGAAAGAAGAACAAAAAAAGAGAAGAAAAUCAGAAAAGAAAAAAAAAUCAAAAAAGAAGAGAGGAGUUGACCUCCCUCUCCCUCUGACGAUCAAAAAAAAAAAAAGGAAAAAAAGGAAACGAAAAAAAAAAGAAAAAAAAAAUAUAGAAAAAAAAACAAAUUGAAAAAAAGAGAAGAGUUGGACUCUCUCUCUGACAGUCAACAAAAAAAAAAAAAAAAUUAUUAUUCCCUCACUCUUAGUAAAAAAAAAGAGAGCAAAAAAAAAAAGAAAAAAAAAGAAAAAAAAAAAGAAAGGAAUAAAGGAAUUAAAUCGGAGUUAUUUAAUUCAAUGGGUUAAUCCAUUACGGGCCCAAUUUCAUAAGCAAUCAAAAAUAAUACAGAGCCCAUAUGCAAAUUCGGAUUCAAGGUCCAAAGCAUGUGAAGCCCAAGACUAAUCUCAGUCUACAUACAAAUUCGGGUCCAAGGCCCAAAACAUGUGGAGCCCGAAAUCCAGCCCAUGUGCAGAUAUAAAUCAAUAAAAGUCCAGCCCAUAUACAGGUUCGGGCCCAGAACAUGUAAAGCCCGCAGCAUACUUCAACCUACAUAUAGAUUCGGGUCCAAGGCCCAAAAUAGGCAAAGUCUGAAAUCCAUUUCAGCCCACAUUCAGAUUUGAACCCAAAGCCAAUAAAAACAUAUGAAUAAAAACCCAAACCCACAAAGUCCACAAAUAAAAACCCAAAAAUCCAAAAUCCACAAAGUCCACAAAUAAAGAUCCAAAACCCAAAGUCCACAAAGUCCACGAAUAAAGAUCCAAAACCGAAAGUUCACAAAUAAAAAUCCAAAAUCCAAAGUCUACAAAUAAAACCCAACCAAAUUUAUCAAACCUAUGUCACCCAAAUACCUCCAAUCCAAACCAAAUUCAUGGGUUUCCCAAAUGGGCCCCUCAUUAUGAAUUAAUUCUAUAAAUUAGUUUUUUGGGCUUUCCAAAUGUAUUCCCUAUCACGAAUUAAUUCUAUAAAUUAGUUUCAUGGGUUCUCUUUGCCAUAAAUUAAUAUUAUGAACCAAUGGGCUCUCCAAAUGGCCCCUAUCAUGAAUUAAUUUCAUCAAAUAACUUGGUGGACUUUACAAAUGGUCCCUACCAUGAAUUAAUUUCAUCAAAUAACUUGGUGGACUUUACAAAUGGUCCAUACCAUGAAUUAAUUUCAUCAAAUAACUUGGUGGACUUUACAAAUGGGCUCCUAGCAUUAUUUAAUUUCAUGAAUCAGUUUCAUGAAUACCUCGAUUUCAAUCGACCGAAAAGUCGUUAAACUAAACCCAAAUUCAAACGACCGAAAUGUCGCUAAACUAAACCCAUAUUCAAACGACCGAAAAGUCGUUAAACUAAACCCAAACCUGAAUGACCGAAAAGUCGUUAAACUAAACCCAAAUUCUUUAAACUAUAAACCAAAUCCAUACACCAAGUUCAUGAACCAUAUCCAAGUUCAUGAACCAAAUCCAUACACCGAGCCCAUGAACUAUAUCCAAGUUCAUGAAUCAAAUCCAUACACCAAACCCAUGAACCAUAUCCAAGUUCAUAAACCAAAUCCAUACACCAAACCCAUGAUCCAUAUCCAAGUUCAUGAACCAAAUCCAUAUGCCAAAUCCAUGAACCAUAUCCAAGUUCAUGAACCAAAUCCAUACACCGAAUUCAUGAACCAUAUCCAAGUUCAUGAACCAAAUCCAUAUACCAAAUCCAUGAACCAUAUCCAAGUUCAUGAACCAAGUUCAUACACCAAAUUCAUGAACCAUAUCCAAAUUCAUGAACCAAAUCUCAUGAGCCAAUACUCAAAUCUCAUGAACCAAUACCCAAAUCUCAUCGUGAACCUUUUUUUACUCUGGCACAUAUACCUAGAGUAAAAAUUAAAUAUCGACUACCCCUAAUACAUAUACUUAGGGCUAAGUCAAUCACCUUAGCACAUAUAACUAAGGCAAAAUAUCUCCAAAUCAACAGAGUUCUAAGUUAUAUACUUAGAAUUCAGUCAAAUGAUAUUCUGACUCUAAUAUAUAUACUUAGAGUUCAUCCGACUAACCCUAACACAUAUACUUAUGGUCUAGUCAGCCUUUUGCUCUAGCAUAUAUACCUAGAAUGGAAGUCAAACCAUGCCUGACUAACCCUAACACAUAUGCUUAGGGUCUAGUCAGUCUUUUACUCUAGCACAUAUACCUAGAGUGGAAGUCAAACCGUGCUCGACUAGUCCUAACCCAUAUACUUAGGGUCUAGUUAGCCUUUUGCUCUAGCACAUUACUUAGAGUGAAAAUCCUUACACCGAAUUCGAGUUAAAUCAGUUAUACUUAGUGUUCAAAUCAUACCCUUAAAUACAUGAUCUUAGGCACUUAGUGACCUUCAUUCUAGCACAUAUAACUAGAGUGAAACGUCGUAAUCUUCGGUACAUAUACUCUCGGGGAAUUAGCCACUCUCACUUCGGGAUAAUUCGACCACCAAUACAUAGUGAUUGGAGGUGUGGUCACAUCCUCACCUUGGAACUAACCAAGGUGAUAUAAUCGGACUCUAAGACAGGAUACUUAGAGCCAAUUGACUCUCAAUAAUAGAGAUUUAAUAUCGACUAGUCUAAAAGAUACUUAGGAUCUAGUUCGGAGCCAUCAAUAAUAUUACUUGAGUCUGGUCUACUUCUCACUGGAACAUAUACCAAGGUUGGAGCAUAUCAGACUCUAAGGAAAUUAUACUUAGAGCCAAUUGAUCGAGUACAUAGAGUCUACAUAGUUGACUAGGUUUUCUAACACAUCUACUAUAGACCUCACACCCGAGUCAAUUUCAAAUCCGACUUUUUCUAAUACUAAUAUACUUAGGAUUCAAUUUAUGCUAACAGAUGGGGGUAUGCCCCUGCUUAGCCAUGUUUAACUUGGCAAUCAUAUCAAUUAAAUUUUAUUUGCUCUGUUUGUGUCUCUUUUAUUUAUCAGCAUUUUAUAUUUGUUCUCUAAUCUGAGGGUUCUCCUUAACACCGAAUAGUGUGGGUAAUAAAGCAGAUUCUUGAGCUGUUGUAUAGCAUGAACCUAUAAUCUGUAUUCAAGUUAAAAAUAAACAAUUUAUCUUACCAUGAAUUACACUCGUCUUAGUAGGUUACAACUACGGGCGGGGGAACCGGUUCGUUCGCGCUGGCUGGACAGUCAAACUCAUUGAUUAAUCAUCCAACCACCAUAUCAAACAUAACAGAGAACUAAACCACAUAUGAAUCCUUCUUAUACUGUCUCUUGUUACAUGAUCACAUUUAGUUGGCUCCAUAUAGGUUUUGGUACAGAUAAUUAAAUGUCAAUGCAAGCUCUUUUCAAAGUCCUGUGGCGCAACUAUAAAAUUUCAUAACUAAUUUCUAUCAAUUAAUUUGUUUUUUGUAGAGUAAAACAUUCAACACAUUUGUAUUAAUUUCUGAUACUAAUGAAAAUCUUGCCCUGUAAACUGAACUCUUUGUUCUUCUUUCAACAGUUCUGGCAAAGGGAGGCAGCAAGCUUGAGGCAGCAAUUACAAGACUUGCACAAGAGUAAUAGGUACCAUUUCUGUACCUUGUAUUCCUUAAAUACACGCUUUUGAUCCAAUUGAAUCAUAAUCAAAGUCAACUUUCAUAUAAAAAGGUGUCGCAAUCUGAAAAAUCUUAUAAUCUGGAGUUAAUUACAACCAUUUGAAAGGCAUAGAUGUCUAUCCAAUGUUCCCAACAGCUCUAAUAUUCAAAGGCUAUGCGAAAAAUGCCAUCACAUGUUUUGCGAUUCAAUUGCUUGGAACCAUAUAAUCCUUUCUUUGAGCCUCUAACGUAGUAGGGCAGGGGUACGUAGUUCUAUAAACCCGCCUCUACACAACUACCUCUACCAGCGCCUUUUCUUGUAGUGAAAUUCCUCUCCUAAAUCAGUUGCUGCUAAAUCUCAUCUAGUCAUACUAUUCAGGUGAAUUACUAUUGAUCUUUCCAUUCGCAUCUCUGCAUUAAAAUCGGCAACAAUAUCUCAAAUAGUGCACCAUGAUUUUAUCUGUUUUCAGGUUAUUUCCACCUUAGAGGAAGCUUCAUUUAUCAUCUUUUUGCUCCAAGCAUCAAAUCAUUUACCUAGUUCAUAUCUCUACUAUACUAAUUUAAUUAACAUGCUUUUCUCUGGCUGUCAAAAUUGGUAUUUUAUGUAGUUUUCAAUUUUAGUUGCAAUUCUGAACAAAAUCUAUGAUCUCGUUAAUUCGAUAUUACUUCUAAUUUUCAUUAUUGCAUAUUCUAUGCGAUUCUAUGAGUAUGCAGACAUAUAUACUUCCCUAUCUCGUUAUUGUUGGUUAGCUAGCAAUUUCCUCGCGCACUCAUGAACCAGCGAACCCGAAAUUUUUUCCCUGCUAAUGGAUACAACAUGACAACAGAAAUUUCUCUCCUAAUCAUGAGAGUUCUACCGACCGUCCCUAGAGUAAGCGGCAAAAGGCUUGGUGGUCGGUACCCGAGGUCCCAAGUUCGAAUCCUAGUUGAUUCACAUUUUCAGCUGGGUUUAUUUCUAAAUGAAAUAAACGAAACGGAUAGUGUGCUAUCUAUCUCUCAAAAAAAUCAUAAGAGUUCUCAUUCCAGACCUAUCUUCAUGUAUAUAUGGUGGCAUGUAAAAUUAAAAAUGAUCCAAAUUGAAAUUUGCUUUUUUAAAUUAAAUUCUUGGAUAUAAAUAAUUUAAAAUUUUAUAGAAUUUAUGUGUUCAUGAUCUUUCCCAUGAGAAAAGAUAACACGAUGAGCCAGGAAAUGGAAAGGAUUUUAUUCCCUUAGGUAAGCAAAAUAGACCCGCGCCACGGGGCUGGCUCAAAAUACUUGGAGGGGCUCCUGGUCACUGUCCCGUCGCAUUACCAUUCCUAAGUACAGUAGGCAAAUGGUUUCCUAGAUAUUGUAGAAAAAUGAUGUAAAAAUAUAUUACCAAACACAAAAAAAACACCAUAGUCCACAAAUAAAUGAGUCACUCUAUAUCCAAAAUAGUUUUUGGAAACAUUAACUUUUCAUUGCAGGCGACUGAUCGGAGAAGAGCUAUCUGACUUAAGUGUCAAAGAUCUUCAAGGUUUAGAGAAGCGAGUUGAAAUGAGUUUGUGCUCUAUCAGAAAGACGAAGGUUCUCAAAACAAUGGUCAUUCUAGUAUAAAUAUGUUUUAUUUUAUUUUUUCUAAUUCUUUUGCAUUCCUUCAUCCACAAAAUUCAUCCUUUUAUGGUUACUUUUAGGAGAAAAUUUUACGAGAUGAAAUCGCAGAGCUCAACCGAAAGGUUCGUCAACAAAUAAAUGUUCAUUCUAUCAUAUUUACGUGGAAUAUUAAUGCAUGCAAUGUAAUAUAUUCGCGGGCGUAACACAAUUUCAAUUUACAUUGCAGGGUUAUCUAGUACAUAAUGAGAACAUUGAACUCCACAAGAAGGCGAACCUCGUAUAUCAGGAAAAUAUUGAAUUAAACAACAAGGUAAUGGGGAAAUAAAAAAAAAAAAAACCCAAAUUUUCAAUGUAAUAGUUAAGUUUCCAUACCUAAGCAGAGAAGUUUAUUAAUUAGCAGGUUCAGGAGGCAAGCGGAUCAAGUGGUGGAACCACCAAAGCUUCGAUUAUUCCGUUUGUUUUUACUGUAGCAGAAGAUGAAGAAGAACUCGUUCAUCUUCAGUUAUGCCAUCCCCAACAGCAAGGAGAUAGGACAUAAUCAAGAACUCUACGGCUGGAGCGAUUUCCUAAUAGUUUGAAAAAGGUCUUCUCUAUCACAGUUAUUUCACAUAAGAUUUGCGACAUCCAGUAAUAAGCUUCCACAUUAAUACCUCAUCCAGUAAUAAGCUUCCACAUUAAUACCUCUUAUUAGAUUUUUUUUUUUUUUUUUUUAUCAUCCUACAUGGCAUAAUAAGAUUGGUUUGAGGUAUAUUAUAUGUGUUGCAAGUGUCUUAUAUUAAAGAUCUUUUUCCUAACUUGUCCCACAUUUCAAUUUCAUUUUUAUGGUUUCAAUCAUAAGAAAUUGCAUUGCAAUCGUGUAUGUAUGUACUAUCUAAAAAUGGUGCCAUGUAAGCAACUUCAUUAUAAGUUGUGCUUAUUGAAAAUAGAUUUUUUUUUUUUUUUGAGAGAGAGAGGUAGCACUCUACCCGCUUCGUUUAUUUCAUUUAGAAAUAAACUUAGCUGGAUAUGUGAAGCAAUUAGGAUUCGAAUUAACUUGAGACCUCGGGUACCAAACACCUAGCCCUUUGCCGCUUGCUCUAGGGACGGUCGGUAAAAAAAUAGGUGUGAACCUUCGGAGACUGAAUUGAUAGAAUCGAACUUUUGAAUAUAAAAAUGGAAAUAGGAGUCAAAGUAUGGGAACUAAUUAGGGGUCGUUUGGAUUGUUGAACCGAUGAUUUGAUUGUAAAUAAAGUUUAUGGAGAAAAAAUUAACAGUUUUACUAUCCAUUAUGAAGGUACCAAAAAAAUGCGGUAGAUAUUCAUGCGCUUAAAUUCUUAAAAUAAAUACCUUCUGAAAUGAUUCCAAGUCAUCUUUUUGUGAAAAAAAACGAAAUUCUAGCCAUAGACUAGGACAAUGAAUCUCCUCGGCAUUACGCUAAUUUAUGGCGAGUCCAUCAUCAUUUUUUAUUUUUAUUAAACUUGAUUAUUCAAUGGAACUACAAUUAUGUGAAUCCAAAACCCCAUAAAUUAAAAUGGUUCAGUUCAAGCUCUAACUGAAAUACGUAUCAAGCUUCAGCUUAACUACUAUAUAUCUGGACGUCACGAAUAUGAAUACAGAACACGAGACACGACACGAUUUGGACAUAGUGACUCGGCAACUUUUAAAAAAUUAGGACAUGAACACGACAUGGAUAAUGCUAAUAAUAUAACAGACACGAAUACAGAACAUGAGACAACACGAUUCGAACAUGGCGACUCGACAACUUUUAAAAAACUAGGACACGAACACGAUAUGGAUACAUGAACACGACAUGUAUACUAUAUAUAUCUAGACGUCACGGAUACGAAUACAAAACACGAGACACGAUACAAUUCGGACAUAGCGACUUGGCAACUUUUCAAAAAUUAGGACACGAGCACGAUUUGGAUACUGCUAAUAAUAUAAUAAUAUAUUUUUAUUAUAUAUAAAAUAUUAGUUUUGUUAAAAUAUUUUUAUAUUUUCAUACGAAUAAAAGUAAUUAAUAAAAUUUUCAUUGAUAAUUUAUAUAUUUUAAGUAAAAAAAUUCUCAACUAUGUAUAAUUUAUUUAUUUUGUCAAAAAAAAACUUAUAUGUAUUCAUCAAAAAACCAAAAAUAUAUCUCAUCUAACUUCAUAUAUGCAUAACCGACCGUCCCUAGCGCAAGUGGCAAAAAGGCUUAGUAGUUGGUACCCGAGACCUAAAUUUGAAUCCUAGUUGAUUUACAUUUCCAGCCAAGUUUAUUUCUAAAUGAAAUAAACGAAGCGGGUAGCAUGCUACCUAUCUCUAAAAAAAAAAAACUUCAUAUAUGCAUAAAAAAAUAAAAAUAGAAAUAUUUUUUUAAUGGGAUGCGUUAUGAACCUAUUUCUAACGCGUGUUCAUGACGUGUCUCAGUGUCUGUGUCGAACAUGUUAGGAUUUGGUUAGAUUUGUAGAUUAAUUCUAGUUGGAUAAGAAUUAAUAUUUAAAUCUGUUGGAGAUAAAUUAAUAUUUAAAUAUUAAUUAGAGUAUGAUAAAUAUUUAAAUCUAUUAGAGAUAAAUGAUAUAUAGAUUUAAAUAUUUAUUGGAGUAGGAAUCCUAAUUAGACUAGGAUUCGCGUACGUUUUACAGGAUGCAUUGUAAAAGCACCCUUUGCGAUGCUUUUGGAGUAGAGAGUAUGGCCAAGUUGAGAUUCUUGAGGAGGGUACGAUGAGGUGUCUUGAAGCCAUUAGUGGACCCUACCAAAUAGAAACUUCGUCAUGAGUUGCAUGCACCUAGUGCACAAGUGCAUGUGAGAGAGAAAAAGGAGAGUUUGUCUUCUUUGUGGGUUUAUAGAAGACAAGAAAAGGGUAAGAGAGAUUCAAAAAGAGGGCUCGGGUUGUAACUACUCUAUGCAGAAAAGGAGUCAGGUGUAAUCUUCUCUUAUUUAAUGAAUCUUAUUUUACCCGCAAAUUUUCUAUUUUGGUUUUUCUCUCUUUUGUGAUCGUAUCAGCUUUUAAUUUGCUGAGAAAACGGGUUUAUGGUAAAAUCCAAUUCGACGCUUCCGUUGCGGAAUCCCAACAAUCGGUACCGGAUCCACAACAGUCGGUAUCGGAGUGGGUUGCGAAUUCUCAAAAUCCGAUAUCGAGGCGAGUACCGGAUUCCCAACAGAACACGCACGUCACUACAACAAAAACGGUCUAUAGCGACACUUUUAAAUGUAGAUACAUGUCAAAAAAGUACCGCUAGCUAAAAUUACCGACACUUUUAAAAAGUAUUGCUAUAUGUGGGGUUGCUAGGUAUAUAGUGACAGUUAAAGAGUGUCGCUAUAACCUAAAAAAGUGCUGUUAAUUUACCAACACUUAUUUAAGCAUUUAGCAACCGCCGAAACUCUAUCUCGUUCGCUGCGGUGGCGGAGGAGGACGACAGGAAAAGCUCUUCGUCUAGAAUUUCAGUGGAUUGAGUGAAGAGAGAAGAAAAGAUGGUAAUUGAUUUUUCUUUUUUUUUUUCUUUUCUGUUUGUAAUCGGGCCAAAUGGACUGGGUGUGGUGGGUUGAGUAGAGUAAUCUUUUAUUUUUGAUUGGAUUGAGCUUUAUAUUUAGGCAUUAGUAAAUAUUUUUUUAAGUUUUAACAUAAAUGGAACACUUACUCAAAAGUGUCCCAAACAUGUGUCCCUAUAACCUAAUUCUGUUGUAGUGUGUCCGGCAUGGACAUGCACGAAUUAUAGAAAUGUCCAUUAUACACAGUUGCAUAUUUAACCACUAGUUUAAUUAAUUUUUCUUACCUUCAGUAUUGCUGCAGACAUCAAUUGCAACUAAACAAAAAGGAUUUGUCACGAGAAGUGCUUUUGCAUCACCUCAAAUGCUGAGACAUUUAGGGUAUGUUUGUUUGGAUGAAAGUGGGGUGGAAGUGAAGAGAAUGAAAGUCGUUUUCACCGUAAACGAUAACUUUCGGCCCAAAAUUCUUAAACCCGGUUAUUAUUACUAGUUCAUAUCUGAUGUGGGAUUAUUGGGGUGUGACAGACUCCUCCCGUUAAGGCCCUGACGUCCUCGUCAGUCACGUCAGUCCAGUCACACACACAGCCGAAGAUCACCAGGCGAUGUGAGACUCGUCUCACUAGCCUUGUCAUCCAGACCUUGGCAUAGCCGGUUAUCUUAUCAUAAAGACUCCGGCAUAGCCUAUCACCUUGUCUUUCAGACCCUGGCUCAACCAAGACUCGCCACACAUUUCCAGCUGGUGAUUGGCUCUGAUACCAAAUGUAACGACUCAGCCCACUAGUAACAAUAGCUCGUUGGGCCCAACCACCGGGCCAAAAUGAUUAAGCACAGUUAUUAUUACUAGUAUUUAAGUCUCUUAUAUACCCAAUCAUAUCCCCAUUCAUAUCCGAUGUGGAAUUAUUAGGGUGUGACAGUUAUGAUCGAAACUCGAGUUAACCUAAAACGGCGUAAUUGACUUCGGCCCAUCGUGAGUUGAAAUCAAUUACGAUGAAGAGAUAUGAAGAAAAAAUAAUAAAAUAAUAUAUUAGAAAAAGAUAGUUAUAUUUAAUUAAAUAUAUUUAAUUAUGAUACUAAUUACUCUUUUAUUCAGUUGACAUAUUUAAAAUAUGAUAAAAAUUGAUUAGUUAAAUUUUAAUAUGUUCUUUAUUUAAUUUGUAUAAUUAAAAUAUGAUAAAAAUUAAUUAAUUAAUUAAUAAUCUUUUUUAACUUUAUAAUUUUAUUGUCGUAUUACUAUAAUUUAUGUAUAAAAAAUAAUAUAAUUAUUUUAAAUUAAAUUUUUGUCACGCCCCGGAUGUCUCGUUCCCCGGGCACGUCGACAAAUCCGCCGUAUACAAAAAAAAUUUUCCUGUAUACGAAGCGACAGCUGUACCUGUAAGUCAAACACUACUACGAACAGUAGUAGAGAGCUGCUAGAGAAAACAGAAGUUAAACAAACUGAGUUUCAUAUACAUAGUCCAAAUCCAAAAUACAGAGUUACUCGCACUGGCGAGUUAAGUCUACUAUGUACAUAAACUCGAAACAAAACAUCUACCUGCAGUACGGGUGCCUCUAGCUCUGCUCGUCGGGUAGGGCUGUAACUCGCAACGCCCUUGCCUCGAUCCUGAUCCGCGGAAGACGCAGCAGCCGAAACCUGUGGCUCUGCAAAACAAGAGUAACAACUGGGCGUGAGAACUACUACAAAACAAGUAGUCCUCAGUGGGUACCGCCCAAAACAACAUCGGUCACCCACUAAGUCUACAGAAGGGAGCAAGGAUAGUAGGAAAAGCAGGAAGUACACUCUACCGCUAUCAAUCACUACACUAUCAUGCUCUACGCUAACCAACUGUAGCAAAUGUCAAAUGACCCAAUUCAAUUCGGGACUGUAAGCAUA
rnacentral:lncRNA from 1 species